rnacentral:lncRNA from 1 species
ACCUAGAUUAGACCCCGAAAGAGCAAAAUCCCCCGCCCCACUUAAACAUUCCUCUCUAAAAAAGACGUUUUCCUUUGCAGAUUACGAUUGAUAGUCGAUGCUUGUUGAUGAGAAUCCCAAUCGGAUCUUCAAUUAAGCUUCAAAGGGCCAAAAGGGUUCUUCCUAAAUGCUCUGUUUCUCUCUUUCCAACCCCUGUUAUUUCAUGUCUUCAAUCCUAUGCCCCCUCUUCUCCAAAAAAACUGGGCCUAAUCACCAGAUUUUAGCUUUCCAUAAAUUCUCUAUGCACUUGUUUUGUUCUAAUUCUCAUACCAAGAACCCUCUUCCUAGUUGAAUCCCUCUGUUUUCUGCACAAGAUGAGUGACUCCAAGUCCAAGGUUUGUGUCGUCUUUUGUAAUUUUUGCCAUUUUUGAAGUUGUUUGAUUUUUUUAUUAUAUUAUUUAUCGUAUUGGAAAGAUUUACCCUUUUCCUUUGUGAUGGUUUUGUACGUUAGUGAGAAUUAUGAGGUUUUUCAGUUCUUUGUUUCUGCUAUAUUUGUGAAAGUACUGAGAAGAAGCUCAGAUUUUUGUGUGUUUGAAGUUGUGUAUGAGUCUUAUUUCUGGAAUUUAGUAUACUUGCUUGAAAUAUUUGGUGAAUAUAAGUUGAAUUUGCAAAAAAUUUAGUCCUUUGACUGAAGAAUCAACGAAAAGUUUAAACUUUGAAUGUGAUUAUGGAGCAUUGCUUUUAACUGUGCUAUGCGUAUGAUUAUAAGAAGUUGUUCUUUCACCCCAUUUUACUUGUUUUUAGUAGUACGGGAUUGUUUCUGUAAUGUUGGGUUGCUAUUCCAGAGAAUAAGAUAAGUAUUGCAAUUAGUAAGAAUUUUUUUUUUUGGGUGUUAAGUAUGUAUCAAUUGCUUUCCAGUUGAAAAUUGUUUAUUUUGAUUGGUCAAUGUGAAAUUAGUCCAAAAGAAAGGCAUGUUGGAGGAUGUGUAAAUAUUUAGUUGGUGCAUCACUAAUUAGUUGCUGUCAGUAUUCGUUCUCAAAUUACUGGGUGCUAAUGUUGCAAUGCUUUUCUGGGUGACUUUAUGAUGUUGCUGCCUUGUUACAAGUCAUUGAUUAAUGAGUGGCCAUCCAGUGAUUACUGUUAAUUUUUUGGUGAGUUUGUGAUUUUGCUGACUCGCUACGAGUCAUUGACUGAUUGAUUGCCACCCAUUGAUCAAUGUUACAAGUUCAAGGAAGUCUUUAGGUGGACAUGCCUGUCUUGCAUUUUGAACUUACUUUUGUGAAGCUGUUUUUUGAAAAAACUAGAUGGUUUUCGCCUUCUGUUUAGUUUUGUGGUUGCAACUUAGCAGUUAACUGGAGAAUUUUUUAGUCAUCGGAGACCAUAGUCUCUUCCAAUUGGGGGAUUGCUUAAAGCAAUGUUUUGUGAAAUAACAGUUUCUUUCAAACAAAUAAGAAUCCAAUGCAAUAGAAAAAUCUUUUUUUAAUGAUUUUUCUUCUCCCUUGGUGGUGUUUGGGGAGAGGAGAGGGGGGAAGUUGGUUUUUCUAUUGAUAACCUCAUAUGGUGACUACUUUGAUGCUUUUGCUUUUCUUACCUAUGGUUUGCUCAAUGUUGCUUUUCUUUUCGUAUUGCAGGUGUUGCUUUUUGGUUCAUUUACGCAGGAUGAAACACAAACUAUGCUCAACCAAUCAUUUAGCAACAGUACCAGGAUUAGUAAAAAGAAAGAGUUGCAAGUUGAUUCUGCCAGCCCUGUUCAGGAAUUAUCUUUUGGUAGUUUUGGCAAUGACCCUGGAAUACAAUUUGGUUCAGUGAAAGCACCUGUAGAUUCAAUUUUGUCUGACUUGCAAAGGGGCAAUGAAGGGCAUGGUGUAAAUUCAGUUCAUAAGCCCAUGGGAGGUGAUCUGAAAGAAAAUGGAAGUGUUGACCAAUCUAUUCACUUCUAUAGCAAUGGGAAUAAUGAGUCCAAUAAAAUUGAUGUUUUGGACUUUUCUGUAUCAUGUGUAUCUGGAAAUGAAGAUGAAGCUUUUCAUAAAUCCCCUACCUUGAAAGCACAAGUUCUUGAUGGCGUGGAUUCAAAGGGAGCAUUUUCAAAUGGAACAAUUAGCGAUUCCUUGGAUAUGAAGCAAUUCAGAGAAGCCCUUCAGAGGUUACCUGAUGGUCCUUUUGUUGCUUCUGCGGACCUUCUGCCUCGAGGUCUGAUCAACUCAGGGAACCUGUGCUUCCUUAACGCAACAUUACAGGCUCUCUUGUCAUGUUCCCCAUUUGUUCAGCUUUUUCAGGAGUUAAGAAUAUGUGAUGUUACUAAGGUGUUCACGUCAAGCCCUUAAUUCGAUCUUUCUCUGUAGCCUCUACUGUUAUAUUAUCUUUUAAUCUGUUAUGUGUAGACCAUUAUUCUUAUUUUUUUUUCCAAUGGUUAGGUUGGCUUUCCAACACUGGCAUCAUUUGGUUUAUUCAUUAAUGAGUUUAGCUUGCCAAGUGGUGUGAAUGCAAAGAGAAAAGAUGUUUCUGUUAUUGAAACUGGUCGGGCUUUUUGUCCUGCCAUAUUUGAAGUGGUUCUGAAAAAUUUCACUCCUGAUGUGCCCACUAGCACAGUUGUUAGGCCAAGGUAUGUCUGCGUUGCACUGUGUAUCUCCUUCCAACUUAUCCUGAUGGUUGCUGUCAUAAUGAUCUUUUUCCCUCUCUGGUUUAGAUGAUCAUUUUUUUAGGUUAGUCUGUUAAGGCUGAUAAAUUAAGCGUUGCUUUAGUGGCCUUUUUUUCUAUAGCUUUGAUGAUUGAGUGAAAAUUUUUGUCUUUUUGUUGAAGGGAUUGCAUUAACUACUCGAGUAAAACAUGUACUAGAAAUUCUCAAUGCAUAAAUGUUAAUAUCGGUAAACUUCUGUAGUUCUUGAGUAGCUUGAGGUUAACAGACAAGCUGAAGACUACUAUCUUGAAGUUGAUGAUUAGUACAGGAGUUAGAUGGAAAUGACAUUGUUGAUGGUGUAAUUGAGUUCACUGUGCAGAAUGUGUUGUUAAGGCAUUAGAUUUUAUUAUUCGCUUUUGGUGUUGUAGCAUGUGAAAAAUUAGGUUCUGCUAGAGAAAAAGUUACCGCAUAAGUCAAUGUUAUAGUUCCUUUAUUCCCCCCCCCCCAUCUCGUUCAACAUCAUUAUGCAUGCGUAUCUGAAAGCUACACCUGUGUGUAUGUUGUACUUUGAGGGCAGAUGUCCUGAAAAGUUUGCUCUUUUGUAUAUUUAGUAAAUUUUAUUAUGAUUGACUACAUUUAGGAAGCCACUAUUAUCCUUUACAGGCAAGAAGAUGCUCAGGAGUUCCUUAGUUUUGUCAUGCACCAACUGCAUGAUGAAUUACUCAAGCUUGAAGGUCAGUCAAGCUUGAAUGGAGGAAAAUCAUAUGUUGUCUCUUCAGCUGAAGAUGAGGAGUGGGAGACUGUGGGCCGAAAGAAUAAGUCUGCUGUCACAAGAACACAGAACUUUGUUCCUUCAAAGCUAAGUUCAAUAUUUGGGGGACAAUUGCAAAGUGUUGUGAGGGCAAGAGGUAAUUGUAUUUUGGAUGGUUCUUUGUUGCAGUUAAAAAUAUGGUGGCUUAAUGUGGUGCAGUUAAGAGGAAAUAUAUUAUGAUACAAAAUUUUGUUUAACUUAUUCUACCUUUUAUGUAUCUAUUCAACAUGAAACAAGUCCUUGGUGGUACAUGAUAUGACAAACAUAAACGCAUUGAUGAUUGGUUCAUUAAUUGUUCACCUAGAUCUGGUACCUCUUUGGCCUGUAUAUUUUGGUUUUACUACUAUACAUAUUUUUGGUGCAAUUCAUUUCUGAAAAAAGGGUGGGAGAGUGGAGUUGGUUCAAAUAUGAUAGUGAUUCAAUACUGUGGUUGCUUAGCAUUGAUAUUUUCUGUUUUCUGCUUUUAUGCCUUGUGUGCAGUUGACACCUUUUCUUGAUUGUGUGAUCAGUUAGUUUUGGAUCUUUCUUUACAUAUGCCCUUUACGUUUCUAUCUUUGCAAUGUGAAUAAGUUCUCUAUGUAGCAUAAUACCUGAAUUAUUUUAUUUUUAAAGGUUUAUGAUUUUUUUUAACCUAUUCUUAUGUGAAAUAGGAAAUAAAGCUUCUGCUACUGUUCAGCCUUUUCUUCUGCUCCAUCUUGAUAUCUCUCAUGAAGCUGUCCGUACGAUUGAAGAUGCUCUUCAUUUAUUUUCUGCAACUGAGACACUCGAGGAGUAUCGAACAUCAGCCAGUGGAAAGGUAAUCUGUCUUUAUUACAUAAUGUUGUAUUUUUGGUGUAUUUGAAGAUCAGUAAGCAUGAAAAACUUGGAAAAGGAGGUUGGAUCGAAGGUUGUCUUUUGCUUUUCAGAGAGCUUGAGUAGAUAGGUGGGAGUUUAUAGUUUUCAAUAAUUGUCAGGCUCCAGUCUGCUUCUUAUUUAUGAUUGCCCUUUUGUGUUGUUCAGAUUAGAUGAAAUAUGGUAAUUUUAGUCCUUUAGGCCUCUUUAUUGUCCACCAUGAAAACAUUUGAUUGCAUGAUAAUUGCUUUGCUUAUUAGACCUGACAUUAUGCAGUGUGGUUUUUUCUUCUUAAAAUACUGUUUUUCAGUUGCUGGACUUCUUUCUGCUUGAAACAGACAUGCAAGUGUUGAAUGGAUGGUUUGGACACGUUUUUAUUUCUGUUUUUAAUUUUUUGCCCUUGUUUAUUUGUUCUUUUGGUAGUUAGAUACUUGGUGGCUUACAUAAUCAUAGUUGGAUCGAAGUAAAAACUCUCUAUAGAUAAUGAAAAUGGAUGAGUGAAUUAGGACCAAUUCCUUUAGUUGGGGUUUGUGGGAGGAAGGGGAGCAAAAUAUGUCUCAUUGUGUAUUUUCUGGUAACCAUGGAAGAUUUAUGUAUUGUCUCUUGUGUGUGCUUUUAUAUUGGAAUUGCGAGUAUAAUUGAAGAAUCUUGGAAUAGCAUAAUGGGCUUUAGUUUUGAUUUAUAUGUUCAUGAUCUGUCAGGCUGGCUUUGCUACUGCAAAGAAAUCUGUUAGCAUACUGACACUUCCCAAGAUAAUGAUUUUACAUCUGAAGCGGUUUGGAUAUGGAACCUGUGGAAGUACCAAACUACGUAAACCAGUGCGAUUCCCUCUGGAACUGGUCCUUAGUCGUGAUUUGCUUGUUUCUCCAACUACUGAGGUAGGGAUCUUCCAGUGCGUCAUAUUUUCUUAUGUAACUACAAGUUUUUGCAUGAUAAAAUAAAUACUUUCAUGUUUCAGAGUGUUUAUUGUUGAAUGAGAUGCUUCCUGUAGGAUGGAAUCUCUAUUCCUAAUUCUCAGAACAACAACAAACAGGUUCUUUUUUCCCAUGAUGUCAGUCAGCAAUGACAAAUUGGGAAAGCAGAAGUGUACUGAGAACCUAGUUGGUUUCUUUUGAGUUUUGUGGAAUUGGGAAAGGUUUUAGAAAUAUGGAGAAUUUGUGGCAAUGUGUAGCUAGCAGUACUUUCAGCCACAUUGGCAAUUUUUGGAAAAUUGUAAAUGAGAUUUAGUUCAAUUCUUUUGUCUUGCCAUUGUGCAGGGACGAAAAUACCAACUUGUUUCAACAAUAACCCACCAUGGAAGAGAAGCAUCAAGGGGGCAUUAUACUGCUGAUGCAUUCUACCCCAAUGGUCGUCAGUGGUUGCGGUUUGAUGACGAUUCUGUCACUGCCAUUGAUACUGGCAAGGUACUCCAUGAUCAGGCCUAUAUUCUCUUUUAUAAACAAGUGCCACGGUGAGAAAUAAUCUGUCAGUUAAAAGGCCUUUUCUCUGGGGAAGAUGAACCUCUUGGUACUCGCAGAACUGCUGAAGCAACUGUGGAAGCAAAUCUUGAACACCCACAUGACAGUUGAGAAUAACAAGAAAUUUUGUAAUUCCUGUAUUUUUUUAGAGCUUAACCGGAUUAUAUUGGUCCAUUCAUUUUUAUCAUACUUCAGUGUGAGGGGCAGAGAGAGCGACGACAAAAUAAAAAGGAUUAAAGGCUUUAAUGUGUUGAAAGAGGGUUGGUAAAGCUGCAAGUACUAGUAACCAAUGUUCUGGACUUCAGAGGCUCGUUUUAAGGGAUCAGCAGUAUGCAGAAUUAGCACUUAUGUUGCCCAUUCUUCUAUGCCUUUUUUUCCUAAUAUUGGAAAUGGGUUUGCGGAUUUCAUGAUUCAUGUUUCUGUAAUAAUCCUAAUUUGUAUUGAACAAUUACCUAUGGUUGCUAUUAGUUUUAGUUUAUCAUGAGUAAUGUAUGAGUUAAUUAGUUUUGUCAUCAGUAAAGUGUAAGUUAAUUACAAAAUAACAAUUUAUAGAAAAAAAAAAAACAAAUAGCUUAGUUGACCAGUAUGGUGAUGAACGCAGGGCAUGCACACAAAAUUAAGUUCAAUUUGGAUUCAAAUUUUAUAUUUAUAAAUUUUUAAAUAUUCUAUGGGUUAUUUUUUGCAAGUAUAGGUUGUAAUUGAAUAUAGGAUAUUAAGAGUCAAAUUCACAGAAAAGAAUUAAGGGUUGAAUUCGCACAGAAGAAUGGACAAUCACGGGUAUUAUUAAAAUUUCUCUAUUAUUGAAACGAUCAACAAAUUGAAGAAAAUAAAAGUAUACUAAAAUGUACAAGAAAAUAGUAAAUAAAAGCUUCUUAGAUUACGAUAUUCCUAAUUACUCAUGUAAAUGCAAAUUUUUAAAUCAUUGAGCACUGCUAUCUUAGAUAGUUAUGUUGAAAUUUCAUUAUGUUUUUUAGAGCUCUAGUAGUGAAUCAUCACUGCUUAUUAUCAAUCUAUAUUUACUCCUAUGAUUAUGAAAUUAGUUACAAAUUUAUUACUUCUAUGAAAUUACAUGAAACAAAUCACAAAAACCAUAAAAGUGCACAUUUACUCGCAUGAGUCCACUUCUAAGUUUAGCACAUCGUUGAACUAGUGUUAAAUUCCAAUUCUCAUUGCAAAUCGAACACCUAAGGUUAUCACAAUCGAUGGGCACUUAAUCAUGAUUAGAUAAACAAAAAUGCUAAAUAAUUUACUCAAAAUAAUAGCAUCAAAUAGUCAAGGAAUCAAAACAAUACAAUCAUAAGAAGUUCAACCAAAAUCCAAGGCACAAACUUUAAAAAUAAAUAAUAAACAUAAAUCCAAAACCCGUAUUUUAACUAAAUUUAAAAAUCCAAUACAAAAAAUAACGAGUUGGAGAAGAGAGAACCCUUGUCAUAUAAGUUUGAUCCCUUCCUUCUUCAUCUCUAUUUUCAUUCUAGUCUAGCCAAUAUACAAGAGUUGAUGACACACUCUACUGCCUAAACGAUACUAUGAUAACCUAAAAUUAUAUAUAUAUAUAUAUAUAUAUAUAUAUAUAUAUAUAUAUAUAUAUAAGAGUUACAUUUUUGUAGUGUGCUCUUGCACUCUUCAAACUCUCUUCUAAAUAAGAAGACACAAGCUUCUAUUUAUGGAGAAAUAUUCAAGCCUUUUUGUAUCUUCUUUCAAGCGCGAACAUUGGCUUCAAAUGUCAAUUUUUGUGCCUUCAAAGCUAAAGCACAUCAUUAUUGAAAAAUAAGGCAAAGAAUUGUUGUUAGAAUCUCCACUUUAUAGCUACAAAUCUUUCAUAAAAUGUUCCUCAAAGAUGUGAAAUAAUAGAGUUGAAAUCAAGUUAUGCAAAUUGUAGCCACAAUGUUUGACCAAAAUCUCUCUUGCAAUUCAUCCGGAUUUUUGGUUGGAUUCUUGGGGGGAUUACUCCACUGUUUCAACAAAAUUUUUUCCAUUGAAUCCCUCCAGCAAUCCCUAUAAGGAUUCUCAGAGGGAUUCGAAUCAACUUUCUUUUUCAACAAAUUUCAUCAUUUUCUUGCUUUUGUGACUUGAACCACUCGCCAUCCUUGUGAACUUUAGGAUUUCAAUCAAUAUAAUACAAAACUAUUUGUUAUCCAAAAUAAAGUCCAUUUUCAAUUCUUACAAAAAUAACCAAAAUUAUAAGAGUAAAAGGGACAAAAAUCUUAUUUAAACAUUAAGUAGCAUUUAGAACUAAUUCUAAUUAAAUGGACCAUUUUUUUCUUAUAAUACUACAAAAGGAAUUAAAAUUAACAUAAAAUAUGAUUCCAAUAUAGCACAAAAUAGUGACUUAUCAUGUAGCUUCCUUUUGAACAUGAAAUAAGUGAUAUGCAACCAUGAUAUCUUCGAGUAUACUAAGGAGUGGUCAUCAUCGAAUAUCCCACAGUGAUUGGGUCACAAUGGAAACACAUACCAGUUCUAUAUGCAUGCUUGGUUGCUGGUUUUUUGAGAAGAAACAAUUUUUUUUCCGCAUCUGAGUUGAAAUUAUUUCAUCUACUAAUCAAAUGGAAUACCUAGCCUUUUUUCUUUUUUCUUUUUUGUUUUUUUUCUGGUGGGAUUGGGGGGGGGGUGUUGUUCAGGUCAUCUUUUUACUUUUUGUUGGAGUUGGGCCUUUUGGCUAGAUCUGCUAAAAGUAAUCAAUCAUUGGGUCUGCAAAUAGAUUAAGCCCAAAAAUUUGUCUCAUUUAAGGCCCAUUUAGAGUUGCGGUGCUUAUGAUUUAAAAAAAAAUUAUUUUUAAGUGCUAAAAGUAUUUUUGAGGCUUUUGUGAAUAUCAUUUCGUAAAAUUAGAAGUGGAACUUUUGAUAUUAAAAAUACUUUUAGCAAACUAAAAUUUAAUGAUUUUAGAAAAGAUUUUGUGUUGUAAAAAAUAAAAUAUUAAAUUUAAUUAUUUUAUUCUAUAUUAUAAACUAAAUAAAGAGAUAAAUGCAUUUAAAAAUUUUUAAAUUACAUAUUAUCCAAAACAAUAAGUACUUAUUAAAUUAUAUGCCCAAACAAUACACUUAAAAGUACAUAAGCAUUUAACAAGUGCUUUUAUUAAAAACUCUAUUACAUGAAAUACUUUUUAAUAAACUACCACAACUUCAAACGGCCCUUAAUUACAUUACAUUCAAAUUUAUAAUCAAUGAGUCCAACUUAAAAUUCGCUGUUGAAAUUGGAAAAUACAUAAGAGCGAGAAAUUAGAGAUGCUAUCUGGUGUUGUCCACCUUAUCUGCUCUUAGUGUUGGGAUCGUUUCUCCUUUCCAUAAAUUAGUUUUGAGGAAGGUUCUGUACAGAUCAAGCUAUUGAAAGCAAAGAGAAAAGGAACAUAAAAUGGGAUCAAAGAAACUAGCGAAUUUAGCACUAACUAGAUAGAAAUAGGUCCAAAGUGCAUCCAACGAUUAAUUGACAUCCAACGCAUUGAAUUACAACACAUUCAAACCUGAAAUGAAUGUACUCUUAAGUACAUUCACUUUCUAAAUGCUUGCCUCAAAUUCUCUCAUAAUAUUCAAGAUUUGUAUUUGUCUUGUUUUGUCAUUGUCUUGGAAAGUUUCUUUAAGAGCAUCUCAAGCUUCUUUUGCCGUUUUACAAGCCAUGAUUUUUGUGAAUAUUGGAUCUAAAAUUGCAAGUGGGUAUCUAUCAUGGCUUUCGAUCUCUUUUUGACUGUAUCUCUAUGAGAUCUUAUCUUUAUAAUUGUUGAUUAUUUAGCAAUAUUGGAACAAGGUGUGUCGCCUCCAUUUGUACUCUAUAUAAAAGUAUCAUGAGUCUUGAUAUUUUGGAGUACAAGUGUAAGCACGGUUGUGAUCUUAAUUUUUUAUAUUUCAAUUAUGUCUUUCUUAAUUUGUGGUUAAAGUUUCAUAUAAUCUUAAUUGUGGAUGGUUUAUAAGAAAAUAAUGUUUGAUUGUUAAGGUUAUUAUAUUGCAUUAGACCACAUUGAUUUAGAUAAAAACAUCUCCUUAAAGUUAUAAAUAGUGAAAUGAUUUGAGAAAUAUAAUGAUUUGAGAAGCAUUUCUCGAAUGAAUUAUAUAAGUUGUACAUAUCCAAUUCAGAAGGAGAAGAAUUUUUCAUAUGGCAUCCAAUGGAAUUUCAAUAUACAAAAAUUUAUGACACCUUUAUAAUUAAAAUAGCAAUAUUACAUUGGAAAAAAGAAAAAUAUGAAAAACCACCAUCCAAAAUCAUUAUUAUCAUUAAUAGCAAUUCCUCAAAAUAAGAAAAAGUGAAAACCUUUCAUAAAAUGACAUAAGUUGAAUAACAAAUGAAUUAAAAUGCUAGAAACACAAUUCAAAUAUUACCAAAGGCAACAUCCAAAUCACUUAUAUCUAGGGAAAGACAAAUGUUGUUAUUGGCAACAAUAUAGUAAUGCUUCAUUUGUAUUGGUUUGAUCAAACAAAAUCUAUCUAUCAAACCCUGUCGAAGCCAUUUCCAGUGAUAAAAUAAGAAUUACAAUAAGAAUAAACUUAAAAUGAAGAAUGAUAUCCAAAUUACUUUCAAUGAUGCCCAAAAUACCCUUAUUUUUCUAUUGAUUACAUAUAUUUAUUGUAUUGCAAUAUUAGUGAAUAAAGAUAGUGGUUAUGAAAUGAAAAGCUUUAAAAUUAAGUAAAUUUUAUUUAUUUUGACAAUUUAAUUAGACAGAUUUAGUGCAUUCCAAUAAUUGACAAUAAUGGUAGCCAUUAUGGAUUAAAAAUUGGCAAUUGAAAAGAUAAGACACUGCAAUAUACUAAAAAUUGAUAUUAAAAUUGUUAAUUAACCACAAUUCUCAUUCCAAUUCCAUGAUCAUCAACAACACUGAUACUGAAACCAAAAAUAUCGUGCUCAUAUGAAAAAAGUAGACUUUCUUUGCAUUGGAUUGUGCUAAAAAAUAUGAUUAAAAGAAAAGAAAAAUGGAAAACACCCAACUAUCUCUAUAUAUGAAAUUUCAAGUGUUAGAAUGCACAAGGCAAAAAAAAAAAACUCUACAUGGUGGAUCAUUUAUACUCCAUCGUUGAUAAAAAUAGCAUUAAAAAGAAUACAGAGAAUUCAAAAUACAUGUAUGUUUAUUUUUCUAACUUAAUUAUAUUCUUUGUUUAUAAAAAAAAAUUGUUACAAUUAUGGUUUAUGUAAUAAAAUCAUGAAUAUACGAUAAUUUUGGUAAAACAUGAUAUUAUCAAUAUUUGAUAUGUUAGAGUUCAAGCUAUAAAUCAAAAAAUGUUUGAUUCAUGAUUCCAAAUUUAAUCCUAAGAGACAUGUUAACUACAUUGGAAUGCUUUUUGCCUCUUUCCAUUUAAUAAAAUUUUUAAAAGUAACUGCCUAAGGAAACUAAUUAACAUAAAAAUACUAUAUUAUGAUAUUGAUGAUCAAAAUUUCACAAAAAAAUUUUAGUAUCUAAAAAAUAAUACAUUUUAGAAUAUUAUAAUCACGUGCAAAGCAUGUGAACUAUUACUAGUAUCCUAAAGAUCACUAGCCACCAAAUAGAAUCUCAUCUUGACAAUACAAAUUUGGUAGUUGCCACUUGUAAAAUUUGGAGGGUGGGACAAAAAGUUAUUUUCGAGCAUUUUGGAUAUGAAGGUUCAAGUGUUUAGAUUUAAACUGAGAAGAGAUCCUUAUUAGAUUCACUCACUCUCAAAAAAGACAUAGGGCUUUAAGACUUAGCUCUUUGAAUACCACUUUGUUAGAAAAAAGAGUAUAAACAAGUAUAUUAAAACUUGUAUUAAGGGCUGGAAAAUGAGUUUGCAUUUGUCAUUAAACAAGUCUCUAUUUAUUGAGAGUGCAAGAAACAUGUCUGCAUAAAUUUUUCCUAACAAAUCUCAAAAUACUACACAAAUUUCUCGUGACAAAUCUCAAUAUCAUAUUUAGAACUCAAAUAAGCUUGAAUUUGUCAAAGACAACAAAUGUGGAACUGCUUUAACAACUAGAUUUAUUCAAGAACUACUUUCAUUUGUUCUAGUGCUAAAAAAUCUGCAGCCAAGUUGCGUAUCUCUACAAUGUUCAUGAACCAUGACUUAAGUAUUCAUGUCACAUGAGUAGGAACAUAUUAUAGCAUAUUGUAAUGAAACUUAAUCCUUCAUCCAAAACCAAAAGUACUCUUCUUCAAAGAGGUUUAAAUUCAUGAUGAUCCCUUCUGAGUUGGUAAAAAGAAUUGUGAGAUAUAAGUUGAAACUAUCCCUUUUAUGUGCUGCAUUUAUAGUCCCUUUUUCUUUUUCCAAGUACCUUGGAAUUGAAUUCAAUUUUUAAAUGAUGGUUGAUUUAUUCUCUUGAAAGAACAGAAGCAGGAUCUUGGUUAGACGCGCAUACAACCCGUAGUUAGGCUAUUCUCCACUGUAUUAUUCUAACAAUUACUGAAUGGUUUGGUUAAAAGCAACUUUUUUUCAUACCUAAAUCUGUUUUUGUGAACUUUGCUUUCUUCUAGAUGAAUCAAGGAACAACUUCUUAUUAUAUAUAUGUGUGUGUGUGUGUCAAAGGGCGGUGCAGAUCAUCAGGAAUAAGAAACUAAGGUUGCAUAGGGGAAGUUCCAAGUGUAGAAGGAACUGGUCUUCUUAUGCUGCAACAGGAAGCAGUAAAAAGCAAAAAUUAUUACCAAUGGAUUUGCUUUUAUCUAUAAUACCAGGUUCUCUGAACAUUGUCCUAGUUUAUCUAAACAACUGCAAUCUAGUAAAGAUCACGGGACUAGCUCUUAGGCUAGAAUAUCUAUUUUAAACUGAAAAUAAAGAAGCUUCCACUUUAGGCUCCUUGCAAUUUUAGCCUUUUUACUGCCACAAAAGAAGUCUUUCUUCCACAUGAAUAGCUAUUUCUUUGCACAGAGAAACGAAUUUAGACAGGAGACUUGUAUUUCUUUAGGUAAAAGUUUUUAUGAGUGGAAAUCAAGUUGGCUUAGCAAAUGCUAUAAAGCGAGAAUGGAGCCAGAGACAGCCUCGAUUGGCCAGUUUGAAAGAGGGAUAUUUUUUUCCCAUAAAAGAUUGAAUCUUGAAGCCCUGGGGCACAAGGCAUACUGUGUAACAUUUAUAUAAUGAGUUGGGUUCAGCAGCAACCCUUUUUUUCUGCAUAUGUUUGUCAAUAGCUAUUGUUUUGAUAUAAUUGAGCUAAGUUAAUAUGUAUAGUACAAGUUUAAGGAUGGCCUCUCAUGCAGACAUCAUUAGGUGAAACCACUGACUAGAAACAUAAAUUAUUUGUAGGACAUAUUAUUCAAGAGUUAAAGAACAUCAAAUUCUAGUUGCUUAAUAAUGGUGCAUCAUGCUUUCCAUUUGUUAAUUCCCAUAUGUGCUGUAACUCCCCCCCUUACAAAUAACACUAUGUAUCUCUUUCCAGCAGCAAGGAAAACCUUGCACUAGUUUGUUAAUAUUGUCCAAAGUGAAAUAGAGACUUGAUGAUAAUGUUAUCAUUUUAGAUCAGUAAUUUUUAACAUUAAGUUAUGUACUUUUUUUUUAAUUGGUUGCCUUCAAAGUAAAUUUGCUACAGAAAGAUGGAACACCUUUGGUCAAUUUAUGGGCUGCCUCAUUUGUCAAACAACCAGAAAAGAAUAUUGAAAUUUCCCAAUCAAUAAAAGUCCUAAUCACGACCAAGGCUAUGAUUUGUCAAAAUUACAACUUGAACAUAGGAAUAAAUGUUAAUGCAUCAGUGAUUAGACCAUAUGAUACCUAGUGAAAUUUUAACAUACUUUAUUCAUAUGUUCUUAUCAGUUAGACUGGUAAACUCGAUUUCUAAUUCCCAAUGGUCCCGCAAAGUUUGUGAGAGAAUUUUGACAAUAUCAUGAUUGGCGGCAUCCUUUCUUAUGUUUCCGUACUGUGGAUUCUCCCUCUCCCUCCCUCCAGAAGCUUGGGGUCAAAGGCAGAGAGUGGUUGAUUUCUUUUUAACUUAAAAACUGACACAAAGGAACACACACACACACACACAUACACACAAAUUCACACAUAUUUGGUACAUGUUAGACAUGGUUUUCAAUACAAGCAUUCCAUCCUUUGAGAUGAAUUCAGGAACUAUACCUCCACUUUAAGGUCUUCUGGUCCACUCUCGUGCUAGAAAAGAAUGGAUUGGGAGGCUUAUCCCUUUUGUUUCUGUUGGGGGGAAGGGGGGCUGGUAGAGUUUGUAAGUUGGAUGUAAUUGUCCAAAAAAAUUUCUUCUGGUAUGAAGAAACAAAAUCUUCUCUUUUCCCAUAACAUUUAUAAAAAAUUAGAAGGACCUCAAGCUCAAAGUUUUACUUAAACUUGCUAUAUAACUGCAUUAAGAACAAGAAGGGCCAAGGUUCAUAUCAGCUCCAACGUUAUUUUCCUGAACUAUAAUCAAAUCUAGACAAGGUAGUGAACUAGUGAUUACAUUAUGUUGCCAACAGUAGUGAAACUCAGAAGGUCUAUUUUCAGAAAUGGCGGUAGUGACUGCAUUAUAUUGCCAAAACUAUGCUGAAUGUGGCCUAAUGUACUUGAUGUAAGACACCCCUGACAUUGUUACGGAUAUACAGAAGAAGAUGAGUCGUUUUCUUCCAACUGAUUUUGCAUAUGGCUUUGUCUUAAAGUUGACUGCUUUCAACUUAGCCAGGUCUGUUGCAGUUUGCAUUGUUUGACCAGUAUCAUGGCAGCUAUGCUAUUUGUGAACAUAAAAAAUUCUUAUGAAUCCAAUGAAAGUGGAAUAGAAUUUUUCAUGAUUCUUUACUUAAUCGCUUUUAUGUAUUGGGAUUGGCUUUAGGUCAGUUUGCCACUUGUUAAUUUGAAUAGCAGUAUGUUAACUUAUGCAAUUGGAAUGAUCUUCGGGGAAACAGACAUUUUAGUAAAAAAAGAAAAAAGGGGAAAACCUUAGAAACCAGCGUAGCAAAAUGUCCACUGAAUAGAGUUACAAUAAUCAUCCCCUUGUUUUAUUCUUUGGAAAUGAAAGUGCAUAGACAUUUUGAGGGUAUUAAAAUGAGCUGAUCAUAAAUUUUGUCACCCUACACCAUAUAACUUCUCUUCUGUGUCAGUGAAAUGCUAAUCAAGAGUAUCCUCAGUUUUAUCUUAUAUGGGCUAUAAAGAAUAUUUUAAUUUCAUGCAUAAGCUGCAGGAUGCAUUGUGUCAGAGCCAGGUUUCAAGUUUCAACCUUUUAGGUCCUUGACGCUAGACUGGUCUUCUGAUUUUAUUUUUUCCAAAUUUUGUGUAUCAAUUGAAGUCCAUUUUUAUGAUCCUUCGGAUUUAUGAUGAAUGGUCUAAACUAUAUGGGAUACAGGAAAAGCAAGAAGCAUACAUUUUGACUACCUUGUCCUACAAAAGCCUCUCUAGGUUCAGCAGUUCUACAACAAAGAGCGGUAAAUUAGAAUUAAAAAAACAAAAAAAAAAUUUCAAACAAGGACAGUAUAAUUCUGGGAAACUUCUUCUAGGUGACAAAUCAAUCCAUUUAAUUAAAUUUACUCAUACCCGCCCAUGAAUAGAUGAGUAUGGGUAUCUUAAGUUUUUGCAUAUUGAUAUAAAUGGAUUACCCAAUAAUACCUAUUUAAUAAAUGGGUAUUAUUGGGUAACCCAUCAAACCUAAUUAAUUCAUUUAAAAUUAUUUUCCCCCAAAUCUCCACUCUUCCCCAGCCCUUUUUUUUUUCAGAUUUUUCAUUUUGUUAUGAAGUUAACUACUUUUGUUUCAUUAUUAUUGUUAUUAUCUUGGUUUUGUUUUAUCAUUUUAUUUUCUCUUAAUUUGUUAACUUACUCAUUUUUUAGCAUUACCAAUUUAUGAUAAAGUUUUAGCCUCUUUUCCUACAUUUCCAAAAUGAAAUUUUAAAUUUACACAUGAAAAAAAUAUUAGGGAUUCAAAAUUUUUGGAUUAAAUUUUUAUGUUAAUUUUUAUGGUACUUAAUUUAAAUUUUUAAAUUUUUAUUAUUCAAUUAUUAAAUAGUAUGUAAUUUUGCGACAUAAUGUACGGAUAGGGAAAAAAUUGAUAAUUAGACUUAUUGAACGUUAUAAGUAAAUAUUUAAAACUAAUGAUGGGUGCAAAAAGUAGUAUAAAUUGAUAACUUAGUUUGCAAAAAUGAAUUUAAAUGAGUUUACAAAAGUUAAAAUAAAUGAAUUAUAAAUGAGUAACUGGGUUACCCAAUUCAUUUUUUGACUUACCUAUUUAUACCCAUCUAAUUAAAUGGGUAUAAAUGGAUUGACUCAAUUAUACCCAUUACCCAUUUUACCCAACCCAAACCCGCCCAAACAUCCAUUUUGACACCUCUUCUUGGACCACAUUAAAGUCAACAAGAACCAAAUCUGAGUACCCAUCCUGUAGUCAGUAAUUGAUCUAUUUGUUUAGACAUGAUGUUGGCAUAAAGCAUGGUUUAAUGAUCAACAUGAAGUGAGUUUAAUGUUUAAGAUCAUUAGCCUAUAAUCCUUCUCUGUUGUUCAUGAAUGCAUAUCGUGCAUUAGUCUCUUUUUUCCAUGUGCAAGAUCAGUUUCCAGCCGACAGACAGCAACAAACUCAAUUUGGAUAAAAUAUUAUAAUGUAAACCUUCAUUCUUUUUGGCAAGCAUUAAUAAUUGCAGCCACUAGGUACAUGAAAUUCUAUCUUACGUUUUGAUAUAGGGCCUAAAAGUACAUAUGCCAUACUUACCAAGGAUGGUCAAGUAAGCUACUUUUGGAUCUUCUAUCAUUUCAUUUCCUUGCUUAUAUCCUUCAGUGGUCCUCGCUUAAAAAUGAUGCUGGAAAUGCUAAAUGGUUAUCUUCUUCCCAUAUUUCAAGAUCAUGAGGUGAUUGAACCAUCAGAGACUGGACGAAGAUUUCUGUAUGGGCAGAGAUUGAUGCAGUUGUUAAUUGCUUCAGAGUGAAAACUUGCAAAAAACUUGCAAAAUAUUUCAGAAAGGCUUACAGCACCUUUUGGUAACAGAACUUUGUACAAACGAGAGUAUGAAUUCAAAAGAACCAUUAUAUAGAUAGAAAAAAACAUAUUCGCAUUCCUUCUAAAACAGAAAAGAACUCGAUCAAGCUGCAAAAUUCGUUCCUUCUUUACCACAGAUACUGUGAACCUGCAUCAGAAACAGAAAAAUCUUAUUUCGUUGGACUUUUGUGAAAACUGUAUAAAACUAGAUCAACAAGCGCAAAAUUAUGGAAUUUUAUUGAAUCUUGCUAUAUUAAACAAUAAUGUUCUUAAAGCAUUUUUCCUCGCAAGUCAAACAGAUGGAGCUAUUUGUUGUUUAUUUGUGUCUUUUUCCUUUUCUCCUGACAUGUUUAGGCAGAUAUUGGCUGAAUCUAUUGUUUGUUUCCACUCUUGUCAUUGUAAUAUUUAACCUCAUCAAGCGCACACUUAGGAUGACUUAAGAUGUAUUAUUACACACUAAAGAGGACUGUCACAAAUUAUUUAAUGAAAGCAAUGUUUCCCUUCCCAACCUAAAGUGCUUUUCCAUGGUAGUUUUGAAUUCAUAGUGGUACCCUCAAAGUUGUUAAAAAGUAUUGAGAGAAAUGUUGAAUGAAAUUACCAUUUCUUUUUUCCAAGUUGCUUGGCAUUGAAUUCAAUUUGGAAUGGUGGUUGGCGUUUUUCAGACAGAAAACUUGCUCACACUGGUGCAAACAGCAAACAAUCUCUAGUUAGGCUAAUCUCCAGAAAUGCAGUAUGAAUUGGUCAAAGACUACACCUUUUUCAUGCCUAUACAUGUUUCUUUUCUCAUAAGUUAUACUUUCUUCUAGAUGAAUCAAAGAACAGUACCCUUUUUCCAAAGGACGGUGGUAAGAUUUUCUCAUUAGAAAAAGAAACUUCGGUGGCAAAGCAGAUGGUCCAGGGAAGGAGGCAGCCGGUUUUCUAAUGCUCCAACAGGAAGCAAUAUCAUGGAAAUUUUGAUUUGAUUAGUGGUUUGAUGUUCUUCUUAAGCAAGCAGCUUCUGGAACAUUAUCCUAGUAAAACUGGAAUAGCUUUAAUGUUAGGCUAAAUUGCAGGAAGAGAUAGCAGCCUCAUGCCUGACUAACAUGUUACCUUCUGAGCUUUCCACUGCAAGAAGUUCUUCUAUAACCCGAAUUUGAAGAAUAACUUACUUAAUGAGAAGCAUCCAAUUUUGACAAGGAAAAACUUCAGGCAACUGCUAGAUUGGUUGUCAAACAGUGAAAGUCGAAAUAGCCAAGAACCUGAAAGCACAAAUUGCUUCAUCUGCUCCUACUACUCAUUUUCUUUGCAAAAUGGUAUGCAGAUAUUUUGUGAAAAAUCUUUAAUUAAGACGUGGAAACCAAGUUGGCUGUUUAAGAAGUGCAAAUCCAGAUUGAAGCCACAGGCAUACUCCAUUGGCUAAGUUAAAAAGAAAACUUUAUCAUAGAUAUACAAUAGCUUGAACCACUAGGGCUCAAGCAUUUGUAUUGAUCAGUAACCCCAUUUUCUUCUUAUCUUUUGUCCAUUACUGCUAUCUUCUAUACUUCAGCAAAUUUGGCUGUUAUAUUAUAAGUCUAAAGAUGGACCCUUGUUAAGAACAAUAACUAGAAAUAAAGGAGAUAAACUCUGUUUUAGAUCAAUAAUCAAGAAUUAAGAAUAUCUAACUCGAAAUGCCUAACAAUGGUGGGGCGCCACUUGCUUUGCACUAGCUCAUUUCCAUCUUUUCUUGAGUUCGUCCAAGAACUGGACAAGUUUAUCUUUAACUUUUGCCCCAAAAGGCAUAGAGAUGUCAUUUGCAACAUAGUGGAAUUGUCACAAUAAUGUACAGCAUAUUAGCUGUGAUUUUCAAGAAAUCCGUACAGUACUUCGUCAAGAUUGUUCCACAACUUUAUGCAGAAGCUCAUAAAAUCCUACCAAUCUUGACUUAUCAAUUGAGGUUUUUUUUUUUUUUUUAACGAGUGUAUGUAAAGUAGAUCCACUAUAGAAAGAAAAAGCAAGUACAGAUGAUUUUUUAGAUGAGUUUAGUUUGCAGAAUUUCCAGAAAAGACUACUAAAUCAAGAAAUUUCAAAUCACUUGGAGACCUACUAGUUACAACCAGAUUACACUUCUAACCUGUAUGACAAGAAUCUCAAGAAAACCACAAUCUACCCUCACAUAUCUCCUGUGUCCUAUGUUUUAGUAGAGAAAACCAUUGAGCACUAAACAAAGUAAUCCACAAAACCAGAAUUCCAAAAUGUCAAAAACAAACUUCAGAAGUAUAGAGGCUUCUAUUUUUCCUCUCUUCUAUGCACACCCGAAAAAAACUUUAGCUAUACAUGAUAUAAAUAUUGACGAAACAGAAAACAAAACUGAACACUGAAACAAAAAGAGUUCAGUGCCUCUUCAAUACUGAAAACUCAGAUAUUUUUUUAAAACGAGAAUGGAGAUAUUUCUUCUGCUCUUUGAAUAGGAGAUGUGUCCUCUGUUCCACCAGAGUACUUGGGAAUCCACCAAACUCUGAGACUUUUGUCGAGGCUUCCGCUAUAGAGCAUGAAUCCACCUCCCACACAUCUUGGUGAUGCCUGCAAACACUUGACUGGACCUUCAUGGCCUUUAAUGACCCCAAAUCUGAAUAAUCCUCCAUUAAUCUCUCUUUUCCAAAUGCUAAUACUUCUAUCUGCUGAUCCACAACACAGAAAUUCUCCCAUUAAGCACAUACACAAAACAGCCAUCUCAUGUGCUUUCACCUCACAAAUGACCCUCCAACUAUCAAAAAGUUUGUUUCCCAACCACCCUAAUACAUAUCCAUCCGAGCCACCUCCAUAAACCAAGCUUCCAUCUUCAGAUACAGCCACAGAAUUCACUGAAACAUCUUUAUGGCCCUCCAAAAUCCCUUUAAGUGAAUGUGUGCUCUUUCCUUCCUUUUCCCAAGCCUUGAUUUUCCCAUCUGCAGAUGCUGAAUAUAUGAUUCUCUUGCUCGAAACCAAUCCGUUUAUCGCAUCGUCGUGAGCUUUAAUUGAUUCCAAACACUUGAAAUCUGAUAUCCUCCAAACUUUAAGAGUCUUAUCCCAUGAACCAGAAUAUAUUAGCCCAUUAUGCACUGCCAAGCAAGAAAUACUAUCGGCAUGCUCAAUCCAUAAUCGCUUGUGAUGCCGCCUAAUUUGAACAUAAUUACUCUGCUUCAUGAACUUCCCCAAGUAGUCCUUAGUAGUAGGAAGAGUAUCAACAAGCCUAAAUAUAUUCUCAGAGCUUCUUGAAACUUUCCAAACUCUAAUUCUACUAUCUUGAUGUGCAGUAAAGACCUUGUUCCCAAUACUAGCAAGGGCCUUAACUGACCCAUCGCCUUGUCCAAACUUCGUAAAUUGCCUUAAAUCAGGCUGUUGCCAGACUAUAAUAUCCUUGCCUUGUGAACCACUGAGGAUGAAUUCUCCACACAAGGCUAAGCAAGAGACUGAUCCAAUGUGGCCUGAAAGAACAGCCAAUGAUUUAUACGAAUAAAAACCAGCGGUGGGAUUGCUAGGAAUCUUGAACUUAAGAUUUUGAAACUCAAACCUGUCUGAUGUCGCAGGGCUUUCAUCAGUUUCACUACUGGUGCAACUGCUGCUUGUGGCAGCAUAUAACAAUGGGGUUGAUGGUUUUGUCUGCAAUAUAGAAGGAUCCAUGGAAUUAAACAGCGCUUUCAUGCUAAAUCGAAUAAAGGGUUGUGUCUAAAAUCUUGAAAAAAAAGAUGAAAAGACAGGCAGACAAAGAAGGCUGUAUCAGAAGAAUUGGGUGAACAGAAAGAGAGAGAGAAAGCAAUGCAUAUAAAGAGAGACGUUGGAGCAAGGUUUUGCUUUAAAAAAUUGAAAAGUUUUGGUGGUAUAACAAACCCGAACCUAUCACAUUUAGGUAUUUCCAAAUUCAACUUGAAGUUUUUAACAAGAGUCAAGAUUUGGUAAUUUAUCCGUUAUGCAAUAUUAUUUUAUUGAUUAAUAUUUUAUAAUAUACUACUUUUCUCAGACAUAUAUUUGUGUGUUAAAAUAUUGUUUUACAAAUAUAUUUGAGUGUUAACCUGGUCAAUUUUAGGAUACCAUAGUGGGGUAUUAGAGAAUUUAGUGCUGAAAAGACUUCUCAAGAUUGUUAUUAAUUGUGUGCUAAUGUUGUUAACAUUGACUAAACAUGAAUGAUAUAAUGGUAGACCCUAUGUUUUCAGAACCGGACCGGAUAGUGACUCGGCCGAGGUCAGGGGUCAAUGGGUUCGACCAGGGGUCGAUAGGGGUCGAACCGGAUGACGUCAUAAAUAAAAAUUAUUUAAAAAUUAAAAUAUUAUAUAUAUAAUAUCUAAUACUAUAUUGAUAUUAAUAAAGGUAUAUUCAUAUAUAUUUGAUGUUUCAAAUAUAUUUAACAAGAAAAUACAAAGAAAUUAGAACAAUCAAGUAGCAAUUUAUAUUAUUUAAUAAAUAUUAACAAGUUUAGAAUUAAAAUUAUGAAUUUAAUUGAAAAAUAACAUCAAAUUUUAGGACAAUAUUUAUAAAGUAUCAAAUAUUUGAGGUAUAUCAAUAAGUUUUAACAAUUUAGGGGGUCAAAACAUAAUAUUAAAAAGUUUGAAUUUUUAAAAAAAAAAUUACUGUUGAACCGGAAAAAUCAAUUUUUUCCCGGUCAAACCCGGUUUUUGACCGACUUUGACCGAGUUUUAAAUUUCCGGUUUUUUAAUAUGACUCGGACCGGCUAUCUGGCCGGUUCCCGGUUCGAUCGGCCGGUCCGGUCCGAGUUUUAAAACAGAGGGCAGACCUAGAGAAAGUUUUAAGGAUUUUUUAAUCAUUAAUUAACUAGAAAGAAGGGAAUUGUUUCCCAUUUUAGGAUACAUUUGAAAAACUGAAGUCUGAAAUCUAAAGUUUGAAUCCAUUAAAUUAUUGAAUUGUUAAGUACUAAAUUUAAUACAUUUGAAUGCAUAUCACAUUCACGGGUUAAUACCACUUUGUCCCCCCAAACUUUGGACGAUUACCUACUUCAAUCCCUAAACUUCAAAAUGGGACACUUAAGUCCCUAAACUUCAAAAUGCCGUUGGUGGUCGAAGUGUCCCAUUUUAUAAGGGUUUAGGGAUUUAAGUGUCCCAUUUUAUAAGUUUAGGGACUUAAGUGGGAGGUAUUUAUAAGUUUAGGAACUUAAGUGUCCCAUUUUGAAAUUUAGGGACUGAAGUGGGCAAUCGUCCAAAAUUUGGGGGGACAACGUGGAAUUAACCCCAUAUUUUCACUGAUAAAUGAAUAGCUUAUCACUUAAUUUUGAAAAUAAAUUUUGCCUAGAAAAUUUAGUACCACUUAAUUAAUUCAGAUGUUCAAUUUUUUUUAUCAAAUGAUUUGAACAUGUUAAGAUUUGAAUCCAUUAAAUUUCAGCGAUGAAUUAGAUUAUCAAUAGACCUUUAGUCUCUUAUACUCCAAUUCACUCACUAAAUAAUAUGCGUUCAAGGAAUACAAGAAAAUAAUUUGCGAGUGCAAAUAUCACUUCCUAGAAAGAAUUGUCUAAGAUUUAAAAUAUGAGAGGUGGAGCCAAUGUAUAUAUCUUCUAAGAGUGGUAAUGCACCAUCAUUCUACAUUUUUGCGUACAGAAGUGUAUAUGCUAGAAUGUUUUCUUUAUUACGCCCCAUUAUACAAGAUAAAAAACUUUAAAAAAAAAAAGAGAAGUUAAACUGCUGAGAUUUUAAAAUUACCACACACCACAUAAAUGUAAUUUAAUUGUAUGAAAAAAAGUUAUACAAGUAGAAAGAAAUACCAACGUCCUACUUUAUAUCUUGUGCUUGAGAUCAUAGAAUAAACGAGACAAAUUAACAUGGUUUUUUUUUUUAAUUUUGUCUCCUAAAUAAACACAACAAAAAUGAGAGAUGAAUUCACUAUAAAAUUCUUUAUAUUAUUAUUCAUCCUCAAAUUGUAGAAAAUUUUAAAUUUUUAUAGACAAAAUAACACGAAAUUCACCUUGUAAGCUGUGUCUAGAAUAAAAAAAAGCCAUAUUAAUAUACUAAAGAGAUUGAUAGAGACUGAACGCAGAGACACAGGAGCGGAGUUGGGAAAAAGAGAGCUGCUGAGGGCCUUCUAACACGGAUUUCUUGCUGGAAAGAGUUUUGGCAUAAUUAAAUGUUGGGAGGCGGGGUGGGGGAGGUGCAACGGCUACUUUUGACGGGUUCACAAAAUGAACUUAACUGCUCAUUCAUACGAAAAAAGUGAAGGCUUCCGAGGGACCCAUCUCCCUAACCUCUAAGGCCAAGGAGAUUACUUGUCUUAAUUUACAUGGUUUAAGUAGAUAAACCCUAAAAAUGUUUCAAGUUAGUAUUGGCAUUUUUGUUUCUUUCUAUUUCUAUAGAAAAAGUGCCUAGCCAAUAAAAAAAAAAUAAUCAGUUUGUUUGAACAAAAAAAAUGGAACGAACGAACAAAUUUUAAAUUUUAAACUAUUAGCUGUGGGGAUCAAUUAUCCAUGAAACGAACAAACAAACUUUGAAUUUUAAACCUAACAGACUAGGGAUUGACCUUGGCUACCACGUUUGGAGUUGGGAGGGACUAGGGGAGGGGGAGAGGGGUUUUAGAGAAAAAUAAAAUAUAAAAAAAAACUUUGGAGUUUGGAUUUUAAGGCAAAGCUAAUUUUUUUUUUUUUUUUGUCGACACAGGGGUGUCCGAGUCAAUCCUUACGGGGCCCGACUAGUUUAAGGCAAAGCUAAUUUAUAGAAAAAUGUUUUUUUUCCCUUUAGAAGUGGCAGCCAAACUAUUGCCUAACACUGUAAAGUGUAAACUAGUGUAGUACUUAUUCUGUCUAGAAAAUAUGCAGUAAAACAAACUGAAAACUGACUUGGAGGGUCAGAGGUGGGAGGAUAAUUCAAAAUCUCUCAUUUACAAAAAAAAAUACAGAUUAUUUGUUUUUAUUAUUGACAUUAUACAAUUUGUUCACAUUAUCUUCACAAAACUAGGGCCAAAUAGUACAAUCAAAUAUUCUCAAAUUAAUAAUAUUUAUUUUCAAGUUACGUCAAUAACAGGAUGAAUUUUCAAUUCUCGAGUCUAAUUCAUAAAUUAGUCAAAUGAAAUCAUUUUCGCAAUGAAAUUUUUUGCCAUCAAUAGAACUAUAGAAGAUUUCAAAAAUCCCAACGAAGUGAGUUAUCAAAUCCAUAAUAUUAGACAGAACAAAAUACUUUUGAUUAAGAUGCAUAUCCUGGUAUUUCUUAAGUAUUUUAUUUUAGUUCCAAAAAUACUUUUUUAUUUAAGAACGUAUUUAUUAAAAUACUUUAGUUCAUUAAACCUACAAAUGGUCAUCACAUGUGUCAUGUAUCUAUAUAAUAGAAAUAUUUGAGGCAAUAAAUAGUAAAUAGUCAUUGUUCCCAUAGUCGACGACGGCUUUUUGUAAAGUUGACCAUAUAGCUUUUAUACGAUGGAAACUACGUAUGAAUAUGCAGGGGUUUCUCCAGAAAUGAAUAUUCACUCAGGCAGUGAUAGUAACCUUCCUUAGAUGAGCAUAAUUUACCUCCAAAAUGAACUAAUGAAGACAUUACUUGAUAGUUGAGGGUUUAGAGGUUUAGAGUUCAAAUCUCCCCUCGCUUCGUUUCUUAUUUCCCACUUUUUCACUGCCAAAAAAAUUUUAAAAACAGAGAGCUGAGACUAAUAGUAGAACUUUGAAAAGUUUAUAUUUUGGCUCCGGGAGACAAGGGUGAUUGAUCCUUAAUCAAUAGAUAUACCCUUUUUUAAUCAAUAUAUAUACCCUUUUUUAAUCAAUAGAUAUACCAUUUUGUCCUAGAGUUUGAUGGGUUAUAUAUAGGCAUGUCUUGCCUGGAUUUGGAAAGAAGACGGAUUUCCAUUGGCAUAAUCGUUUUAACCUUCCUCAUUUCAGCCUGCCACGAGAAACCAUACAAAAAUUGAGAUGAGUUUGGCAAUUUCUUUUCAAUUAGACUUUUAACAUGAGCAAAAGUAGAUUAAAAAUGAUCUAUCGCUUCCAUUUGCAGUGAUCUAUUUAUAAAAUUUUGCCUAUAUUAAACAGUAGUUUAUCAUGGAAAAACUGAAAUGUCCUAAGUAUGAUUUAUGUACUCCAUCAAUUUCUUUAUUUUUUUUUGGGUAAAAUUUCUGUCCAGGAGUAAAAUUUGAUUUCCAUUAGGCAAAAGUUAUAGACAAGCGUGACCGAAUGAUUAUUCUUGCAAUCAGCACUAAUCAAGAGGAGAGCAAUGUGCCCAUACCAAAAAAGUUGAGUACCAGUACCAUUUUUUUUUUCUUUUGGGUUGGAAAAGAUUGAAAAUUAGACAGGAAAUAAAGAUGAACUAUUCUAUUUUUCCCAAGGAUGUUACCUUUAAUAAUUAGGUAUUAUAUUCCACAAAAGAAAAAGUUGCCAAAAGUUACAAUAUUUAUGUCAUAAUCUGCCCCCACACUGCCCGCGGCAGGUGGAAGGAAAGGGAGGCAUUAACAAUUCUUAAUCAAGUGUGAUACGAUGUAAUUAUCUGAACAGUGAAGUUUAGUGGAUCUCCCUUUAGAUGGUUGAUUUUUAAGCAUUGUUGAAAAAAAAAAUCAAGUGUUAUACGAAUUGACCAAAAUUUGGAUAGACGCGAUUCAAUGACUCAAAUUGUAUCAUGCAAUCAAUCAAGUGGUGUGGCAUAAUCUAGACCAUUGAUUCUUUGAAUACCAGAUUUAUCCAAAUAACAUUGGAAGAGCCUGGCUGUGUAGGCCCAAUCAAAUUCUAGUCUUCUUAGACUCAAAAAAAAAAAAAAGAUAUUCAUUGAUAAUGCUUUCUAUGGAGAACAUUUUAGAUGGUUGACUAAUUAAAAAGCUAGAAUUUUUCCUACGUGCUAUAGUCAUGAAUCAUUAGGUAGUGCUUCUAAGCAUAUGUGUUUUGAAAUGGUAUUUAUGGCAAGAAUACUGUGCUAAAAAUAUAAUGAGUCAGAACAAUUCUGAAAUUAGUUUACAAAAAACUUCUGAAAUUAAAAAAGGGGGUAACAAAUUAAAAAAAAUAAAGUAUCACACAAUAUUAAUAUUAUCAAUUUCUUUUUUGGUUUGGGUAGGAAUAUCACCAAUUUCUAAUAAUGCUACUCAAUGCGACCCAAAAAGCGAGUCCAAUAUACACAUAUCCAAGGUCUUCAAAAAGCAGAUAUAUACAUAUCCAAGGUAAGAAAAAAAAAAUGCCAGUCCACUUGUUCCAGCGUAAAUGGCAUAUUGAUAUUCCCAGAGUAAUGCAAAUCAUAUAUAGGUAACCAAUUUGGGCUGAAAAUUGUAGGGCCAACCCGUGAGAGCCACUUACUUUGUAUCAACCUCUUUCCUUCGACAAAUCACAGUAGCAACACGUAUUUGGACCGAAAGAGCCCAAUCGAAAACAUAAGUAGUUUGGCUAAAUCACCAGGGAGGUUGACGUAGUUACCCCUAGUUUCAAUAGGUAAGUGAUAUUUGCACUUAGAAAUAGCUCAUGGCGUUCUUAAAUUGUCUUUCACAGUUUUAGAAGAUGAAAGUAUUUUUUUGAUUCUUCCGCGACAUACACUUCUUAAGAAAGGAUCGUACAUUUUAGCAAAAUAUUCAUUUUUAGUAUUGUCAUUCAUUACACAAUCUAGUUCUUGUUUCGAGUAUAUCCCGAAAAAGAAAUUCCUUAUCUAGGGCUUGAAUUCAAUUUCUAAACUCAUUGUUUAGAUUCUUUCUUUUUGGCUUAUUCAUGUAAACCCAACGUUUGUCAAAUUCAUUAGAGUAAGAUUUUUCUGAUCUAACAUUUUAUUAUGUGAAGAAAAAUGGAGUGCCACAAUUAUUUUAGAGUACAAAUUCAUUUCGGAAUAUCUUACUUUAGUUCACCUAAACUAAAGAAUGAAUAUAUGAGGGAUUCUAAACGAUAAUAAUGGAUUGCUAGCAUAAGCCGUAGUUUCACCAGCUUUGAGUUAGUAAGUUCUAAUAAUUACGGCCCUGUUUGGAAGCUUGGUUUUUUACCAAGUUUGUAUAAAACUAGUUUUUUAACAACUUUUACUACAGGAACCCCAAAAAACUUAUUAAAUCUUUUAACCUACACGCUUAAAAUAUCCAAAACACAACAAAAAAAAUUCCCUUCCCCUUUUCUUCUUCUUCCUCCCCCAUCACCACCUCCAUUGCCGGCUCCAUCACCAAUUUCCGGUGUCGGUCUUUUUUUUUUCCCCCUUUUUUUCCCUCUUCCUCCCCUGCCAUCAUCCUCUCGUCUUUUUUUCUCUCUCUAUGUCCGGCGCAGAGGGGGGUGGCGCAGAGGAGCGGCAAGGGGGGCAGAGGGGGGCAGCACAGAGGGGGACGGCGGGGAGAGAGGGAAGGCGGGGGAGGGGGAAGGGCAGAGGGGGGCGGCGGGGCAGAGGGGGCGGCGCAGAUGGGGGCGACGGGGGAGAGGGGGAAGGGGCAGAGGGGGGUGGCGAGGGGAGGGGGAAGGCGGGGUAAAGGUGGGCGGCGGGAGGUGGAGUUGCUGCUGGGGGUGGCGGAGGUAACGGGGAAGAAGAAGAAGAAGAAGAAGAAGAAGAAGAGAGGAAAGAAAAGAAAAAGGAAAGAAAGAAAAAGAAAAAGAAAAAGAAAGGGAAAGAGAAAAAAAGAAAAGGAAAAAAAAAGAAAAAAAAAUUUUUCACUUUACAAAAACUUCUACAAAAUUUUUUCAAAAACUUCUACAGUGCACUACAGUAAAGUUUUAGACAAACUCCAAAAAAACUCAGGUUCCAAAGAGGCCUACAUUAUGCUCUAGAGUUGACUAUGAGACGGUUAUCUAAAGUUGUCAUAUUAUGAAAUCUUAUUGCAAGAGAUUGUAAAAUGUUUUUGCGUUGUAAUUAAAAAUCACCAUCUCAUCAAUUAAAAUGUUUAUGCCCUUUUAUUUUUUACUAUCCAUCAAAUACUCAGAAUACUUCUAUUUUUUUUUAUUUAAAUGUGCUUUUGUCAAAAAAUUGAGAAGACUUUUAAAAUUUUAUCUUUGCCUUUGCUGAAAAUUAAUUCUCACUCCAAAACUAAUAGCAUUGUACAUACCCUAUCCAAAACAUUAUGACUAAAAGUAUGAUAAUUGAAAAUAAAAAAUUCUAAAAAGAAAAAAAUGUUAAUUUCAACUCAAAAAAAGAAGAAAAUAGAAAAAAGAGAGAAAUCCUCAAAGGUUUCAUUAGUUUUUCCAAUAGAUUUAGUUUUUUGAGAUGCUCUUCCCUCUGCCUUUUGACCUCUAUGACUUUAAGUGUCCUUUUCUCCAUAGUUUAUCUUUCCUAGUUGAAUUUUCUCUCUAAUUUUUUGGUGAGUCUCAUCAUCUUCCUUUUUUUAGGUUUUUAAGAUUUUCAAUAUUAUUAAUUAAAUUGAAAACAGGGCGAAAGCUAUAAUACCUAAUGCCAUCAAUUCUACUAACAGAAAAAAAAUUCAAAUUAUAAUAUUAUUCCUCUGUAGCUUAACUAGUGUUAUUAUUCUAUCACUAAUUGAAUUGUAUUAUAUUAUUAUUGAAAAACAAACCACUAUAAUUAACAUUAUAUUAGUGUUCAUUUUGGUUAGGGAACUGGAGUUGUGAUAGCGAAGCAUGAAAGGAUUGAAAUGAAACUUCACAGGCAAGAAAGUCUCUAUUAAACUAUCUAGGCCCUAGACAUAAUGGUUUAUCAAAAUAAAAAAACAAAAAUAAUAAUUAUAGUGAAAAUGAGAUUACCCUAACAAAGAAAAUCAUAUCCAACAACCUCAACUAUUCGAUCGACUCUUUAAAAGGAAUUGGUACACAUUUCCGCCCUACAUAAUUUUUCAUCUAAAUAUGCCCUAUAGUUCCUAAAUUGUAGGAAUGGAUUUUUCUGUACUGUGAAAUAGAGGAACUUUAGACACACUAUUCUAAUCUUCAUUUGAUCAUAGUGUGAUUGUCAAUUCAUCAACAUAACAUACAACAUGCCAAAGGAUUUCGUCGUCGUCAUGUGCUGCUCGUGUGAGUUUUGUAAGUUCGCGCUUCUCCGGAUGCUCCGUUGGAAUGGUUGGGGUAAUUGGGUGGCGGCCCAUGGGUUUUCUGCUUUCGAAUUAAUGGCCGUACCGCUUCCUUUCCUUUCCAGGCUCUCAUAGUUACAUUGUUCGAAGCUGGCAGCAAACCUUUGUCAAGAAUGGUAAUUGGCGUGAUUCAUUACGCCUGCGACUUCCGAUUUCCUCCGAAUCCCGACACUGGUUGGCUAUGCCCUUUUUCCCUACUGUUUUCUCAUUUGCUUCUUUCCUUUCCGCUUUCUGGAGUUUUUUGUUCCCUUGAACCCGUCCCUCUUUUUUGAUCUCCUUCCUCUCACCGGAUUCCCUGCCCAGCUUUAUUGCGAGCUCAGUUGCGUCUUCUUCGUUGAAUUUUAAGCUCGGUCUCCUCGGCCUUCUUUUGCUGGUGCGUUUUGCUUUUUCUUUCCCCCUAUUUUACGUUGCAAUUUAUUGUUGGCCAUGGUGUUUACUUUGAUGCUUUUACAAUGCUGUGUCUCGCCCUUAUUUUCUUGAGUUGGUCAGUGUUCUUUGCUGCCAUUAAUUAUUUCCUUUUUAUUAUUAUGCUGCAAGGGAGUAAUGCUGCCGUUAAUUAUUGGGAUCUGCACGGCGUUGUAGUUCUGUUCUUUUCCCCUGUUGAUUUCAUUUUUGUUUUCCCUUGGGUCUUUGUUUCGCUUUUCCAAUAGCCUUUGCUUCCUGUACGUUCCUUUUCCGUGGCAUGCAUGUGUUAUAAUUAAUUAGUAAUUGCUAUUAUUUUUCUCAUCAAGUUUCAAGUUGCCUUUGUUACUUAUGUAUUUGUGGGUAUUUUGGGUUCUGAUUUAACAUAGCCUACGGCAUCUUAGUUAAAAAAGAAUAAAUUUGGAGUGCCAAAAUCAUUACUCCAUCACAAUUGUUUAGAAUUGGCUUUUCCUUUUCUUUAUAAGAGAAGAGUUCCCAUUGAUUAUCCAAGUGUUAUUCACCAUAAUUAUUUCUUGAAAAAAAGGGUAACCCUUCCAAUACGAAUUCCAUGCAUGCAAUACUGUUAAAUUUCCUAAUUCUUCUAGGAGUCAGUUUAUACAUGAGGUGGAUGUAUAUAUAUAUAAUCCUAAGAGCAGUAUUGAACGGCCACAAAAUUAUGAAAAAAUUUAUCAUCCUCUCAAACUUUAAAUUUUAGCCCCCUUAGAGAAGACGGUCGACAAAAUUCACGAUUACGAAUUCUUCUUCGACAUUGAAUCUCCAGCUGGUGAGAAAAUGACAGAGCUUCAAGAAUGGAUGCAAGCGGAUAGAGAAUUGGUGAGGAAGUUGAGCAUGAGAAGAGAAUUAGAGGGCUUACCCUCGUUUUCUUCCAUAAAUAGUAGUCUAGAAAUAGGUUUAAUUUGGGGCAGCAGUGACUACUAUAUUAGAAGGCAAAAAUUUCUUAGAAGUUACACAUUUAGGAAGAAAGAAACUGCAUCCCAGAGGGCAAAGAAGUUGUGGGGCAAAGUGAAGCAAAAGGUCUUGAAACCGAAGAACAAUAGAACUGAGGAUCAUGGGUCAAAUAAUAGUAGCUCUUUAGCAAAAACUGGACGUGCAAGUUAGCCAUAGCUCUUUUUUCUGCCACUUUUGCCAUGGAGUGGGGGGGAUUUGCCAGUUUUGCCCACGAUGGCGUUGGUGUAGAUGGGUUGAUGUUUUUUACCUUGAAUGUUACUUACUUUGUUUAUGCAUUUCCUUUUUUAUUCCCUCACCUUCUUGUACAUCUGUCUGUUCUUCUUACAUUUCUAUUAGCCUUGCUGAUUACGAACGGUUUUCCUUGACUAAUGUUUUGUUCCUGGUUUUUCCCGUGUUCUCUAAGAAAUGGCUACUGAGCCUGUGUGCAUAUCACGAGUUGAUAAGUCUUCAAUUGAUUAGACUGUGCUGGUUCAAGUUAUCGAAGCUGAUCGUGUAAAGAUUACUCGAGAUGGGGAUUUAUCGAGGUCCUUGCGUCGAUUUCAAUUUGGUGACUUUCAGGUUUGAUCCAUCCAGAUUGAUCCUAUCUCCCCCCCUUCUAUUGUGUUGGUUGUGUUUUUUUUUGUGGUUAACUGAAACUCCUGAGGUGUUUCUCCCCCUUGUGGAUAGGGUAUCAAGGUCUCUGCGGUUGUCUUUGACGAUGUUGUUGCUAUUGUUGACGGGCUUCUUUCGCCGUUUAGAAAGUAUUACAUAUCAAAUGCAGAGGUGCAUGAGAUUCCUGAACUUGUUGGAAUGAGCUUGUAUUCAUUUUACUGGGUUAUCAAUGAGGGAACUAUUAUUGAAGAGUCUGCUGCCUCCGAGGAACUGGCUCUUCCUUUCUAUUUUGAAUUGCGCUCUUUUCAAUACUUCCACUUUGUGGCUGACACGGAUACUUUUAUAAGUUAGUCCAUUUGUUUACAUGUUUAGCGCUUUCUUUCCUCCCUCGCCAUUUGAUUGUUCCUAACUGUGUUCAUUUAUGGUUUUAAUGUGGAUGUCAUGGGAGUUGUUAUCCAUGCAUUGCCUCCACGGGAUGUGUAUUUUUGGAGGAAGCAAACGAUAUGGUAGAGAUUAUAUUAUAGUAGACCAAAGUUUAGUUUUUCCCUCUCAAGCACAACCCCUUUUAAUUGUUUAGCGAUUGUUUGCCUCCCAAACAAGAGCUUCCCAUGUGAUAACUCUUUGCUGCUUACUUAAAAUUUGUUCUGCUUCUGUAUUUUAUGCAUGCAGUAAGCGCCCAGUGGUGUUGACUUUGUGGGAUGAUUACGAGGCUAUUGAGAGUCGUGCUAUUGAUGAAUUAAUGGCGUCCAUGCCGAUUAUUAUUGCUGUGACGGUCAAGGUUACCACGCAGAAUUGUACGAUUUCCUGUCCGCUGUUCUUUUCCCUCCCCUGUGUGGUUUCUUUCCUUAGCUGUGCUUUUUUGUUCUAUUUUUCCAAACCUAUCUCUCUCAACUCAGCCAUCCUCUGUUAUCAAGGUUGCUCCUGCUAUUCUUGAAGCAAAAAAAUUUGAUGAUUGGUAGCCAUUGUCUAUUUAUUUAUUUUGCUUUUCUAUCUUUUUAUGAACUUAUUCGUAUGCACAAAGCUACUUUGUUCGUGUAGGUCUAAUGCUAAUAUAGCAGAGCUAGUUCGUAUGGUUUUUGAUGAUAAGGCCUACCGUGAUCCGUGCAUUCUGUUGCCCCCUGUUUGUGACGUGACGCUAACAAUGAUCUCUAAUCUUGUAUCCGAGUCUAGAUCCGUUACUGUCGGGGUAUUGCGAUUUUUUACUCCUUUUAUCAUGCUUAUUCUGUUAAUGCCUUUGUUUACAUUCUUUUUUGGCCCCUGCUCAGCUACGCUUUUGUUGUUUCUAGAACUAGGGAACUUUUUGGAUUAAGGGUCGUGUUGAAAUUGCAAGGCCUUCGGCUCGAUUUUGGCAUAUGGCCUAUCCCCACUGUUAUGAACUGUAUGAAUUUUCGUUCACUUUGGGGAUCAUAUGCCUGAAUUGUGGUCAGGGAAUGCAUGAGUUUCCUAGGUGAUUUCUUAAUCUGUUGCCUUUGUGUAUGUUUCUAUGUUAUUAAUAUGCAGUUCCUUGUACUCAUGUUUUAGCCUUGUUGCAUAUCAUGUGUUGUCUGAUAGGGCAUGGGUUCGUCUUAUGGUGUUUGACAGUACUGGUUACGUUAAUGUUUUUGCCUUGGGCCUAGAAGCUGAGAAACUUAUCGGCCUAAGUGCUGCUGAUAUGUAUCGCGUUUCUGAGCAUGAGGUGAUGUUUGUUUAGGUUUAUUGGUGUUAUUCUUCUAUUUUCAGGAGUUCAUGGCUUUGCUUUUACUGUCCAUUUUAUUUAUUCGCUCAACUUUAUAGCAUAUUGAUUUUAUACAGACUUUUGAAAUUUCGAAACGUGUGUCUCGUCAUCUUGAUGGAAAGGAACUACUGUGUUACCUUAAACAUUCGCCCAGGAUGAUCAGAACAAAAACAUUUACUCGCUACACUAUUGUUGCUUGUUACCCUGUUUCCAGAAGUGCCUUUUCUCAGCACAUACCUUUUGGAGAUAGUGUUUAGCUUAUUAUCUUAAUUGGCACCCUUGUAGCUUGUUGCGUUGCUUCAUCUUAUGUUUGUAUUUCAUGGUUGGGUUUUGCUGUUUUUAGUUGUUGGAUUUACAGCUUGUGGCCGUGUAAUGGGAAUAGCCGUCUUGCUGGGUAUUUCUUGUCUGUUAAGCCUUAUGGUUUGUAAUGAAUGGAUUUUAUUUUAAUGGAUGUUUGUGGUGGUUUUAUUGUGGCUUUGUUUAAUUAUGCUUCCUGAUGUUGUUAUAUGCAUGUUGAGCUGCUCUGGCUCUUCCAUGGAAUCCAAUAGAUUCCAUUAAUUUUAUGAUUCGAAAUGUUUUUUUGUACAACAGGCGUAUGCAUGUGUUUGGACAUUAAACAGGUUCGACCAAAUGUUAGUUUAUGUAUUCACAGACUUAUGUGUGUGCCUGCAAUUCAUUUUUUGUACUUUUCCCUUCCAGCCCUUGCUCUUGCUAGCACAGCUGACGUAUUUUCCCUUGAACCCCCCCGAAUGAGUUCUGUGCCUUGCGUUUUCUCCAUAUUUCUUACACUUGCUGAUUACUUUUCCCAAGUGGUUUGCCAAUUAACUUGCUGACCUAUGCUCCAUUUUCCUACCACCCCGCCUCCCUUUCAGAUUUGAAUAACACUUUUGUCCUUGCUAACCCAUUCAUGUGGAUUCGUUUUCAUGCUCCUGCGCACGUAAUCAAUUGACUUGUGAGACGUGGGAAGACCUUAUGCACCCUUGGUGCCGUAUGACUAGAGCUUAUGCACCCUUAGUGCCGCGAAUUCAGAAUUUAUGUGUUACGUUACUAAAGUCCGGCUUAUUGAUACAUUUUUUCUUAACCGCUAUAAAGCACCACUGUCUGGUUUUCAUACUUCUACGUUAUUUUGCUUGGUUUGCCUUUCUAUUGACCCUCCCUUUUUUUCCUUCCUUGUUCAUUCUACCUGUGAUAAGUAUACAGACCUCGAAGCAAAAAAAAUCACCGUAUAAGAACCUCUAAAAGUUUAUUUCUGUGCCGUUAUAGGCGUGAAUGCAGUGCCUUCUUAUUGAUACCUCUAUAUUCAAUGGACCUUCUUACACUUUUUCCCCCCUCGUUGUUUGGCUCCUUAUUAGCUUAUAUCAAGCGGUAUCGUAUAUAUACUUUACCUGUAACGUUUUGCCCAUAGAAUUUUUUAUAUUGUCUGCCCUGCAAUUUUUGCCUAAUCGUUGUUUCAUCUGGGAUAACUUUUUAUCCGAACAAACAAAUUUUUUACUCUUUUCUAUCCUGCCUAUAAUUUCUCGUACAUGUUUGUACUUUUGUCGAAAAAAUAAACAUAUACAUUUUCCGUCACCAUCUUUGUUUGCUAUCUGAACUCUAUAUCAAUCUAAUUACCUUUCAUCACUACUUUUUUCCCCAUAUUUUUUGGUGGUAGUUAUAGAAGUGUCUUUUUUUAGGUUCACUUAGUAUUGCCCCUUAUGUCUAACCUUUGCUUGACAGCUAAAUUUUUUUAUUCUUUCUUAGAAUGCAAUAUCCUUUAUUUUGCUUUAUACUAAAUCUUUUUCUGUCCAUUGAAUUUAUUACUUCUAAUAAGAAUAGCUAUUACUUUUUCGCUUGCACAUUUUUGUAUUCUGCUGGUAUUAUUGUCAGCUAUUUUUACAUUUCGUCUGUUCCUUGUAAAUAACUUUCCUCUUGCGGAUGCGUCUGGUUUCACUUUAGUUAAGACUACUGUGAAUCUUUCCCUUGUCAGAACCUUUUAAAUGUAUAUGCUGCUGGUUGUCUCUAUCUCGAUUUUAUCCAGGUCCUCUGUUAUCGAAACUUAGCAAUUUUUGUGCUAUCUCAGUAUCCGUGUGAUCAACAAAACCCAGUCGCUUACAAUCUUUUAGACUAUGGAACAGAUCCGUUCUUCCUCGGUUAUCUUUUCAAAAUUACUGCUCCCUUCUCCAAUGCUGCAGCAUUGUCCGUUCACAUCAUCUCCUUUUCUUGGUUGAUGUGUUUCUGCUCCUUCAAAUUUUUUUCUCAUCUUACGUUUUCUUUUGUUUAUCGCGUGUUUUUCCUUGGUUGUCCUCUUCCAUUGUAUUCUUACCCCUGGUGCCUUGCUAGGAACAUCUGUCCUCUGUGUUAAGCUUUCCAGGUAUUUUUUUGAGUUCACCUCUUACUGUUUGUUCUUUAUUUGUAUGCGCUGCACUAGCAUUUUUGCAUAGCCAAGCUCGUGUUAUCUUGCACACCAUGUGUUUGUUAGCUGCAUGUAAUGCGUAAGGUUGACUGCUAUAGCAUUUUUUUGACAUGCACGUUACCAUUGUACCAAAGAACAUAUGUUUUCUGUCUUUAAGUUAACUUGCUCUUUUUUCCUGCCGGCUUUCCCUUUAACUGCCCUUGCCUUCAACCUUCAUUGACUACUUUGCUCUCAGAUAAACUUAUCCAUUUGUAAUCCAUUAGGCUUUUUCCGCAGCAUUGUCUAUUCUGUUUUCAUUUUUUUGUCUUUCUCGAAGCGUUCCAGCUUUGACUGAACUAUAUUUGCUCUCCUUUCAAGUUAUCUGGUUCUUUUUGGCAGGAAUUUCUCCUUCAAUUGCGCUUUCCUUGAACCUGCAUUCGGCCUUUGUUUCCAGGUAACCUUCUACAUCUACAGAGCAUUUUUUCCCUGUUGUUACUCUCCUGAUCUUUGCAUCUUGAAGGUUGUGUUUCCCACAAUUUUUAUUAUUCUUCUUAGCCACCCUUUUGUUAUUUUUUCUUUUCAUGCCAUUGGUUUCUACUUUGUUUUUCCUGUUCUUCUCUACCUUUUUCUUUUAACAUGCUUACCAUCUGUUGCAAAUUUUUUGUCCAUGUUAUGGCAUUGUUUGCGUUUUUUUUUUUGCGAUUAAGUAUUGAUCUCAAUGCCUUUUAUGUUCAUCGUCAUAUAGCAUUUGUUUUGGAUUGAAUGGAUUAUAACUUAAAACGGCGUAUGCGAUAUGCUGCUAUGGAUCAAGAGAAGAAGGAUGCAUUAAAUCGCCGUAGGAGAGCUUCGUAUGCUGCGAAAAGACAGAGUUGUCCUGUUGCUCCCACCCUUGCUGUGCGACAGUUAGAAAAACAAAAUUCUAAGCCUAGCCAUUGUUCAGAUAGCUCAGGCAGAAAUAGGUCUAUACCUGAUACGGAUGCUCAGAAUAUAAUCGAUAGUGAUGCAUUAGCUGAAGCGUUUGAUGGUAUUUCUGAGCAACUGGCUUCUGAUAUGAGAAGCCAAAACUUACCUCCUGAAGGCUCGUUACCUAUCAGUUCUUCUACCGUACCUUCACCGCUAGGAGGUAUAUUGUUUCUGAGAUUAGAUUCGUGAGCUAUAGAGCCUCUUUCCUUUUCUUAUUAUCCAUUGCUAGUACUGUUAUAUCUUUAUUUAUCCCUCCAGCCAAAUACUGAUUGGGGCCGCUCUAUGCAUCACUUCUUUCUAACCCCUUACAUAGAUUUCUUUGUUCUUACUUCUUCACUAAUUUAUAACUCACUCUCUCGUGCACUACUGUUUUUCUUCGUUGUCUCUUACACCAAAAUUCCCCAUAGUUGCUCCCAAAUCGUCACUUCUUUUGUUUAUUUGUGUUCUGGUUAGUUUAGCUAAGGUUGGUGUCUUAUUUUUUUUUUUAAAGUUCUUGCCAUGGUGCCUGUUGAAGAGGGUACCUGUGUGCUUGAAUUUGAUAACUCUAGACUUUCUGAAUCUUCAAACAAUCCACAGAUCGUUGUUAAUACACGAGUUGAGGGUGAAGGUUAGUGAUGGAUAAUCUAACUUCUUUAUAUAUGUCUGAGAGUAAGCUUUUGCUGUAUUUUCUCUCGGCUGGAUAGGGUGAUAUAUUUCUUUGUAUUGUCUUGGGAAAAAGGAAAAGGCUUAGAAUCACAAAUUCUUCCCGCUUGAACAAAGUACCAACAAAGCCUCUUGUCCUACCCAAUGUUCCUGACUGUGAGUAUUUUGGUGCAAAGAGGUUUACCUUGGAACCCCCCAAAUUUUGUUGUCGCGGCGGGGAGAUUUCUGUUGUUUGUCCAACGAUGCCUUACGAGCUCUUUCGUCUUUACUCUGGUACUGACGAGGACUUUGAUGAGUUUCGAAAAUGGGUUCGAACCUAUAACAAUAAUUUGGCCUUCACAUCGUUUGGCGCCAAAUAUGAUCGUGCCUUAACAAAAAAUACUAAGGGUGUUUAUACUUUUCGGGUGUAAGGCUAGGUGUACCACUUAUUGAACAGUUUGGUCUCCUAAUGAUCAAGCUACUCGUGUCCAGCUAUAUUUCUAUGAUCAAGAAGAGGAGUUAUCAAAAAGAGUGGCUGGUUCGCCUAGGCUACGUGAAAGCACCCUCAAAUUAUUGAUGCGUAUUCUAGAGGCUAAUCCAUACACUAAAUUUUUCAAAGAUCUUCGAGAUGUUCAUGAUCUAGACAAUCAUAGGAUUGUUCCCAACUUGGAUCCUCAGCUGGAUCAACGUGUAUAUAAUUUGCCUGCUUCACCCAAGUUGCUGCCAUUAGGACAGAAAAUGAGGAUGAAGCGCUUGAAAAAGGCGCUCAUAUUCAGGUUUAUACAUACUCAAAUGUGCCUCAUAGGAUACCGCAUUAUUUUGCAUGUUACGAUCCGUUAUAGUACCCUCUCUUAUUCCUCGGGGCAAACCUAGUUGGCAUUAUGGCAUCCAAAAAGUACCGAUCCCAAUGAAGGAAAUAAAGAGGUUGACAAUGAUGAUGAUGUCGUGCCUAAUUUUUCCUUAAUUGGGAGUGCAUCAGACUUGAUUCAACAGGAACACGAAGGCAAGUCUUCUUAGUUUGUUCCUGAAAUUUCUCCCCCUUGUCACCCCCGUGUUAUAUAGAGUGUUAGAUAACUCUGUUAUCCUACUUUUUCCUUGUUUGUGCUUGGUGUGUAGCUGCUGAAGGUGGGAAAAAAUAGCGUGAUACUAUUUCUGCAAGAGAGUACUACUGUUACUUACUUCAGAUGAGAGAAAAUGAUAGAUCAAUGGUGUUGCACACAAGGAGACUGCUAUAGCAAUUUGCUGUUGAUAUUUACGUGAAGAUAGAAACGUCUAGGCUUGACUUCCAUAGAAAGAACCAAACUAAUAUUAGGACCGAGAUUUUACAAGGUGUAAUGGAUAGUCUAUCUGUUGGCUAGACUGAAGGAGAAAGUGUUGGUCGUCGAGUUUAUCUCCCAGCUUCUUUCAUUGGUGGUCCAAGGGACAUGCACCGCAGAUAUGUUGAUGCGAUGGCGUUAGACCAGAAAUUUGGUAGGCCUGAUCUUUUUAUUACCACGACAUGUAAUACGCAGUGGAGAGAAAUCCAAGAAAAUCUAAAAUAUGGAGAUGAUGCAUAGGAUCGGCCUGAUUUAGUGUCAAGAGUCUUUAGAGCAAAGUUUGAGCUACUCAAGACUGAAAUAGUGAAGAAAAAGAUUUUUGAGGAGGUUGCUGCCUGUGUUCAUGUGAUUGAGUUCCAAAAAAGGGGUCUCCCUCAUGCUCACCUCUUGAUCAUCCUUAAGCCUGAAUUUAAGCCACUGAACUCUGAUGCUUAUGAUCGUAUUGUGUUUGCUGAGAUUCCAGAUCCACAGAAUCAAAGUUAUUUGUAUAAUCUUGUGCUCAAACAUAUGAUGCAUGGACCAUGUGGAGUUUUGAAUAAGGACAAUGUUUGCCUGAAAGAUGGCCUUUGCAAAAACCAUUAUCCAAAAAAUUUUUGUGAUUUCACAGUCCAUAUUGAGGAUAGCUACCCACACUAUAGAAGGCGAAAUAAUGGUCGAUUUGUAAGGGUGCGUAAUAACACCCUAGACAAUCGAUGGGUUGUGCCAUAUAACCCAUACCUUCUUACUCUCUUUGACUGCCACAUGAACGUCGAAAUUUGUUCGACGGUUAAACUGGUCAAGUAUUUGUAUAAAUAUGUCUAUAAGGGUCACGAUCAUGUUAGCUUCCAUAUUUAUUCAGAAGAUAACACUGACGACAUAGAUGAAAUAAAGAAUAUUCAGACUGGGCGGUGGGUAGCGGCUGCUGAAGCUUUUUGGCGCAUUUAUAGAUUUAAUCUGAAUGAGAUGACUUCUACUGUGUAUACUCUUCAGUUGCAUCUUCCAGGUCAGCAAAUGAUCUUUUUUCAUAAAAAUACGAAUCUUGUUGACCUCUUAGAUCGAGCCGAUUUUCCAAGACAAUGCUGACAGAAUUUUUUCACAUGAAUAAAACCAGCAAAAGAGCUCAAAGUCUUAAAUGCCGAUACCAUGAAUUCCCAGAGGUUUUUGUUUGGAAGCCUACUAGGAAACAGUAGACUGAACGGAAGAGAAAAAGAAUCAUUGGUCGUGUUGUGACUGUUGCUCCAAAUGAGGGAGAACGCUACUACUUACGACUUCUCUUAUCUCACGUUUGUACUCCCACGUGUUUUGAAGAUCUCUUGAUUGUUAAUGGAAAGCUUAUGCUGUCCUAUAGAGAGACUGUCUUCCAAAUGGGAGUGCUUCAAUCUGACGCACAUCUGGAAGACACGCUUAAUAAAGCAGCAGCCUUUCAGAUGUCUUCUUCGUUAAGAACUCUCUUUGCAAUCUUGUUAGCCUAUUGCUUGCCGAGCAAUCCUAAGGUCCUCUGGGAAAGAUAUGAAGCUGAAAUGUCAAGGAAUUUUGAAAGAGAUAAGAGUUUUUCUACUCAGACUGUUGAACAAAUAAGAAGACGUGCUUUGCUGGAUAUAAAUAAAUCCUUCGAACAAAUGGGAAAAAAAUCAAUGACUACCAUUUGGUGCCUGAUGGUUUCGUUCUCGGUCAUGAUGAGCGGCUCACAAGAGAAAUUCAGAGCGAGCUAAGCAUACAGUUUACAGAGCAAGACUUGUUAUUGCCUUCAAAGUUAAAUAUAGGCCAGAGAUUUGCCUAUGACAUUAUUCUGAAUGAAGUUUUCUCUUUUGGAAAUAACUGUUUUUUUGUUGAUGGACCUGGCGGGACUGGUAAGACCUUUCUUUAUCGCUCUAUUCUGACAAUGCUUAGGUCCCAAGGGUUCAUAGCAAUGCCUGUUGCAUCAUCUGGAGUAGCUACAUCUAUUCUUCCAGGAGGGAGGACCGCACACUCAAGGUUUAAAAUCCCGUUAGACAUUUCUACAAGUAAAGUUUGUCAUAUCAGUAAACAGAGCUCUGUUGCUAAGCUUAUUAUGAUGGCUAAAUUAAUUCUAUGGGAUGAGGCUUCUAUGGCCAAGAGGGGCACUAUCGAAGUUUUUGACAAGUUGCUCAAAGAUGUAAUGGAUUCCGAUCUGCCCUUUGGUGGUAAAGUAGUAGUCUUUGGGGGAGACUUUCGGCAAACUUUACCUAUUAUUCAGAAUGCAACAAAGGAUCAGCAAAUAGAGGCCAACUUUGUCAACUCCCCCUUAUGGAGUUCUCUUCGGAAGUUAAUCUUAACUGAAAACAUGAGAGCUAUCUCUGAUAGCCACUUCUCUGAUUUUCUACUUAGGAUAGGUGAAGGUUGCGAACUAGAGGACGCUGAUGGAAAAAUAACUUUAUCCAAUGAUAUAUCAAUCCCGUUUGAUAACAAAGAAGAUUCACUAAACAGGUGAAAAAUACUUUUUCCUUUCAAACUCCGUGCUCCUUUUAUUAUUGGCCAUCAACUUGAUUAAAUGGUCUUAUGUUAACUAAAAUAUUUGUUAACCAGGUUAGUGGAUUUUGAAUUUUCGGAUUUGAGCGUGUAUUCAUCUGAUCCAUACCAGAUCACAAACAGAUGUAUUCUUACUCCAAAGAAUACAUGUGUCGAUGAUAUAAAUGAGAUGAUGAUUGAUCGCUUUCCUGAUAACCUUUUGUGUACAUGAGCACUGAUCGAACUAUUAAUGAGAGAGACCAAUCCGACUACGAAGACUUUGUAAACUCUUUGAAUCCCAAGGGUCUGCCCCCUUAUAAACUGGUGCUAAAAGAAAGUUGCCCUGUUAUUCCCCUUAGGAAUUUAAAUCCUACGGAAGGCUUAAGCAAUGGAAUACGGCUUAUAUGUAGACAGCUAAAGCAGCAUGCCGUUUGGGUAGAGAUUGCUGUUGGUCAACAUCGAGGAAAAAAGGUUCUUUUGCCAAGGAUUCCUCUCCAAACAUCAGACAAUGAAAAGAAUGGGGUUCCUUUUAAGCGAACCCAGUUUCCCAUUUGACUUUGCUUUGCUAUGACGAUUAACAAGUCACAAGGACAAACCUUGGAUCGUGUUAGAGUUUAUUUACGAGAACCUGUGUUCUCACACGGCCAGCUAUAUGUUGCACUGUCUCAUGCUAGAACAUCAUCUUCUGUUAGAGUUUUAAUAUUACCAGCAAUAUUUAAUGAUAUUGUAACUGAAUUCAAGACAAGAAAUAUUGUAUUCCAUGAAAUUUUUUGUUUGUCUCAGAAAUAAAUGUUACGUUUUGAGAUCUACAUAGUUCUCGUGUGUGACUGUAAUAUUAUAUGAAUUAUCCUUUUGUGCAGCCCCUUUUGUGCCCUUAUUCUUUAUCUUGACAGAUUUGCUUGUUUUAUUUCCUUGCUUAUUCCAGCAUGGCAAAUACAUUGUAUAUUGAUGAUAUUGUGCCUGGAUGAAGUCUUGGAUAGCUGAAGUAAUAGUUCAGGAAAAGUUGAAUCUAGGCUCUUCGACUUCCACACCAACUAGAUUCUAAAGACUUAUUUUUGUCGACUCAAAGGUAUAUUUCUACUCACUGUCUUUCAGCCUAAGUUGACUAUUGUCUUUGUUCGCCCUUAAUCAGUAUCACUAUAUGUUUUCUUUAUAAUUUGUCAAUCUCUGAUUAUAUAAGUUAGCCUUUGACACAGGGUUCAAGAAUUCAGGGAAUUCUUUUUAACUAUGCUAUUGAAAAGAUGGGGCCAAAGUUGCAGCUUUACAAGAAAUAUCGUAUCUCAAAUGUUGAAGUGAAGACAAUUCCUGAAAAAUUUAGGACUGAUGGUAUUGAGCUGCAAUGGGUUAUAGGGACGCAAACUGGUGUUUAGGAAAUUGAAGGUGAAGAAAAUAAUGUCUUGCCGCUUCAAUUCACACUCACACCCUUUAAGGAAUUUGCUCGCUAUGCAGAUUCGAAGACUGAAACUGUUGGUAAGUUUGCCCUUUGAUCUACUGUUCAUUGGUUCUAUGCUAUAAUUUAUUACUGUCUGAUCCAAACUAUUGGCUAAUAAAUUUGUAUACUUACAUUUGUGCUGAUUUGCCUGCCUUUACUACUAUCUUUGUUCAAAUUACAGAUGUUCUUGGUAUUGUUAUUGAUGUCCUUUCUGUCAUCCCAAUCAACAAAGACUCAAGGGAAUCAUUUGUGCAGAGAUUUGUUAUUAUCAAUGAGGAGUAUGAACUGCUUUUUCCCAGUUAUUUUCUGUUUUGCGCUCCAUACUGUUAUGUCCUCAAACUUAUGUACUAUGAAAAUAGCUUAAAAGGUUGCAUUUUGCUAUUUGUUAUAUAGGAUGAAUCCGAUCAUUUUAUCUCUUUGGAAUAGUUUCAUUGAAAAUGAGGGUAAGGUUAUCACUGAACAGAAGGACAAGUGUCCAGUUGUGAUAGGUCGCAGGCUCAAGGUUGUUACUUAUGGAGGUAAGACCUAAUAGAGGUUAGGUUCUUGAUUAUUUAAUUCUAUGUGUGUUAACGAUUCCUGUUCUAAUUGUAUCUACCUAUCAAGAAUUGCCUUAUCAAUGAGGAAUGAUUCGGUUAUUCUUGUCAAUCCACCAGUUAGAGACGCCAAACAACUCAAACACUGGUGCGCAAUGUUUAUUGUUUCCUUUUCCUUUCCUUUUUUUUGUUUUUGUUUUUUGGUUGGGAUGAACUACUUGACGUUCACUGCUUUCUUUAUUGAGCUGGUGAAAUUUAUAGGGCUGUCAGAAAUGAAAAAAGUUUCUCUGCUCUUGUUCAAUACAAGUCAUACAGCAAUUAUAGUCCCAGAAUGUUUUAUGAUCGAAACCACAAAAUUACCUCGCUUGUGGAUCUUACACCAGCUCAAAAGGUCAUAACUUGUUUACUGUUGGAUUCGAUUCUUUAAAUGAUGCACCUGUGUUUUUUUCUUGAUCUGCUUAUACAUUUAUAUACACCUAAAUCUUCCUAUAAUCUGUUUACAAACUUCUGCAGAUGUCAUGGGUUAACGCUUGCUUUUCUUUUGAACAUAUACUGCAAAAGUAUUGGUAUAUGUCUUGUAUCAAAUGUUGCUGAAUGACAUCAGCAAACUAUGAUUCAGUUUAUACAUGCAACCACUGUAAUGAGAAACAGAAAACUGUACCAAGGAAAUUUCCCCUUUGUUCAUGAACUAUCAUUGUUCUACAUAACACUGCUUUUGUUGAAUUUAUUGACUUAUUUCUAAAGUUCAUAUUCAUGCAGAUGUCAUUUUGAUGUUGAUCUUACUGAUGAAACUGACACGGUCACAGCUUCAAUAUUUGGUGAGCUUGCCGAAUCACUACUUAGAUUCACUGCACUCGAGGCUUUGAAAUGCUAUAACAAGGUCGGAAGUACAAGUAGCUUUGACUAGCUGUGUAUUUUAUACAUACAGAAUAUCAUGCUAAUGUAGGUUUCUGGAAUUAUUUAACAGAAUGAAGCACUUCUGCUGGAGAAUAUACAUAGACAAUUUAAAGAAAAGAUGUUCAUUGCCCAGCUGAAACCAGGAAAUACGAAGGAUGGCAGUGGAAAUCACCGCUACACAGUUGCUUAUUACUUUGAAGAAAAUGCAGCAACAUCUUCGUUCAACAAAGAUUCCUGCAUCAGUGUUCAAAAUCAGUUUAUCCAAGCUAAACAACAAAACUCAGAAGCUGGUUCUUCAGGUUCUUUUUUUAACAAGCAUGCUUUCCAUUCCUCUUGUUCGCUUUCUUAGCAUUGCUCGCUUUUUCGUUCUAGAGGGACAAGAACCUUCUUCGAAACGACGAGUUCGUCUCACAAGAAGGUUUAGAGAUGCUGGAGAAAUGGAAGAAGAACCUACACAGGUCGAUGACUCUGGCAGCACCAUGAAAACAAAACUUGUCUGAUCUUUCCUUAUCUAUGCUCCUCUUUUGAGUUGCAUUAGUGAUGCUGCGAAUCUUUUGACUACUGCCGAGAAUAGACAUGCUUGACUGGAUGCGAAGCUUGUGUUUUGCUGAACUUAUAUAUCUGCUAUGCGUUCCAUUUAGAUGUUUUUGCUUGGAAUUGAUGCUUUGGUUAUCAUGGCUGCCUAUUGUCAGAAAUGGAUUUUAUACCAUGUAACUCCCAAUUACUUAUCAUCAUUUGGUAUAUUUAUCUAUUUAGUUAUCAAAGCACCUGACUUUUGGAACCAAAUUGCACAUUCAUUGCCAUGCUUCUGUUUGUGUAAUGAACUGAUCUAUCAAGUUGCUGCACAAUUUUCCAGCUAAGAAUACUGUCAAAUAGAUCAAUUUCAGAAUUGCAACCAUCUUUAUAGAUGUCAUCUUUUUCUUUUGCAGCAUACCAAAUUUCCUUUUCUCUUCAUACUUACUUAUAGUGAUAGAUUUUAGGAUAUCUCAUACUCUUAGUAUUUAAUCCAACCACGCAUUCGCCGUUUAUGUAAACCCUUCUUAGACCUGUCUAAAUGGGCAUGCAUGCUGGUUAUUCCAUCGCGCAACGCCACGGUUAUUCUUCCUAGUUUGUUCAAAGUGUGAAUGCAUGCCACCACACAUAUCUUUCUCCCAUUUUAUAUAUUGGAUACUUAGUAUCUUUAAGUUUAAGUUGUAGUAAUAAAUCAAAUCAUAUGCUUCCAUUUCUUCUUUUAUUCCUAUGAUUGAAUGACGGCAUGUAAGGAAUACUUCCAUACAAGGAUUGGAAGAAAACCCAUUAUAGUUAGAUUUUUUAACGUUGCAAAUGUUAAGAGAAGGCAAUUGACAGGGAAGUAGUAUUGCAAACAAAAUAGAAGUCUAAAGAAAAGGAGAUUGGCAUGAACAAAAGAGGUGAUUGAAGAGAUGAGGCAACAAUCAAUAGCGAAAUGAUAUCCAUGAGGCUUAAGGUAUGAGAAAAGCAAUUAGUACUAUGAUAUAGUUGGUACAAAAGUAGGAUAAAAGAAAUGUAAAUAUGCAUAUAUAGGUUCAUUUGUAAGCAUAAAUCUUUUUGAUGCACAACAAUUAUCCGCCAAUUAGAAUUGUUAUUCUAUUCUUAUUUAAUUCAUUUAAUGUAAUGAUUGUUUUGAUUUUUUCUUUACUGAUUAUUCAUUGUUUUCCCCAACAUUGAGCAUAUAUAAAACCUACGAAACCACCCUUUUAAUUCAAAUAUUUCAAAUAUAUGAAUUCAAAAUAAAUAGAUGCUUUCUCUAUUAUCAUUAAUGCAGAAAGAAUUUAGAGCAAUUUUAGAAUUAUAUAAAUUAGGCAAUUCUAGUACUACAAAUUUAAUUUAGCAAGAUCUCAUUUUACUCUAGUAUCUAAUAUAUUGUUGAGCCUUAUUAAAUGCACUUUUUCCUCCUAUGAUAUUUAAUAAGAGCAUGAUGAUAAGUAGAUUUAUGCAUAUCAAAAAUUAAACUAUUCCCAUACCCCAUUCAAUAUCAUAUUUUAUGUGUUACAAUAAAAUUGUAUUAUUUUAUUUUGCAAUAAAGUAGACUAAUUCUAUACCAUCUUAACCUAUUCUCAUGUAAUGCAAACACAAUAAGUAAAAAAUAUUAAAUUUAGCAUGCAAUGCAUGUAUCAAGUUGUAUAAACACUCAGGCAUGAUGAAAAGUAUAGUACAGUAAAACCUCUAAAAAUUAAUAAUUUUGAGACCAUUCAAAUUCUAUUAAUUUAAAGAAGUAUUAAUUAAUUGAUAAGUCAAUAAUUUAUUAAUUUAUCGAAUGUACUAACAAUUGAAAGAGACAUUUAUUUAAUUAACUAAACUUUUAUUUUAUUUUAUUUUAUUUUAUAAAAUAUGAAUUAUUCUAUUAAUAAAAGGAGGCUAAAAGUUUAAGAAAUAUGAAACAGUCCAUAUCUUCUUGAUUAAAAAGAUUUAGGAAUUCUAAAUGAUAUAUGUUCAUUUCUAUUUGGGAUAAUUUCAGAAACCUCCCCUGAGGUUUCUGACAGUCUCAAAGACCUCCCCUGAUAUUUUGAAAAUCCCUUAUACCUCCCCUAAAACUAAGUAGAAAGUAUCAGAUUCAACUCAAUUGAGGUGGACAAUGAAUAUAAAAUGUGUUUUAGGAGAGAGAAAAUAAAGAAAUUCCACCUCUGCCCUCAAGAUUGUCAUUAGUGAGGGUGUUUAGGUUGAAAAUUUCAAUGGAAUCUAGUUCCUUUGAAAUUUCAGGGGGUGUAUGUGAAACUUAUAGAAAAAGGUAAGGAUGUAUUGCAAGAAAUUGUGUUCUACUUCAUGCCAACAGCUCUCAAAGCAGUUCUUUGUAACGGUAAAAAGAAACAGUCAUGUUGCUUUGGAGCUCUAUAUAAUUGCCUACUGGAGUUGCAAGAGAAAGCAUUGGAUGUUGUUGGGUUGUGGCUGAGGUUCUGCAAAAGUGCUCAUACAAGUAUAAGCUGAAAUACCUACAAACAGAUACACAUGGCUUCUUCAAGCCUGGUAGAUUCAUCAUGGAAUUCUCCAACUUCAUUUUCAAUAAGAUAUAAAUAUUGCCAUUGUCAUCGGAAAGCAAGCAUUAAGAUUUCUGAGAGCAGGAGGAAUCCAAACAAGCUCUAUUUCGGUUGCUCAAAUUGCAAAUUCUUUCAGUGGUUCGAAGGGCCUGAAGAAGGUGAAGUGAGCAGCCAAAGAAGAGAUCAACGUUCAAGCAUGCAAAAGGAGGAUCAAAUAUAGUUUGUCAAAGUAGAGCAGUCGAACUCCAUUGUGAAAUGGCUGCUUAUAAUGAAACUGUUAUUCAUAGCUAUUUACAUUUUGUUGUUGAUAUUGUUUCAGUGGGUUGAAGGGUCUGAAGAUGGUGAAGUGAGCAGGCAAAGAGCAGAAGGACAUUCAAUCAUGCAAAGAGGUGAUCAAGUGCAGAAUUUGAAUGCUGUCAAGUUUAACUCCAUAGUGAAAUUGAUGCUUAUAAUGAACCUAGUAUUUUUAGCUGCCUAUGUUGUUAUGUUGAUUGUAAAAGAGAUCAAAUAAGUAUUGAUUCAUAAUAGUAAAGAACCAGAUUCAUUAUCAUGUGCUUCCAGUUUUGCUUAUUGAAUACCACAAAUCCUCAUAUUACACAAAAACACAGUGUAUAAGUAAUAGUGCAAAUGAAACUUCAGUUUCUGUUGAGAAGCUUUUCAUACUACUUAGUUGUAGCGAUGAGUGGGGUGGAAUUUAUAUGUACAAUAGCCAAAUAUUUCCACUAAUGCAUCUAGGUUGAUACAAAAGAUAAAUUUUUCCAAAAUAUCAAAUAUCAAAUGUUCAGAUACCAAAAUGAGAUCACCAAGACAUCAGAUAUUGUCAUUUCUCCAAUGUCGACAACUAAUGAUCAAAUAUUCAUGUCCUCUAAUAUCCAAAUAAUAAAAGACUCUUAAUCAGAUUCUACCAAAAGGUGAAGCUGCUACUGACAUUGUGAGAAUCAUGAGAAACUGAAGCAUUGAUGUUGACAUCAGUUUGUACUUGGGCAGUUCCACUGGGAUGUAGUGCAGCAGUAUGCAUUACUGCAAUUGGUUGAGGUACUGCUGUUGAAGUUUUCCUUUUGCGGUUAUAUACAGCAGAUGGAGCAGAUUUGUUGGAAGGUCGUCCUCUCUGAAAUUUUGGUCGAAUUUUGUAUUAAUAUACAGGCAUGUAAAUAAGCAUUAAAAGUGCAGCUAUGAUGUAAAAGGAAUUAAGGAACAAAUACCUUUCUCUUAGUAGCAUUGGUUGCUGUUUGGAAAUUCAAGUCAACAUUCAUUAAUGGUGAUUGAAUUGAUGGACUUGGGUUGCUGCCUUGACUAGAAACGACAAUAGGCACAUUGCCAUCAACAUGAUCCUGCACAAAUCACCCAUGCAUUAGCUCAUCAGACAUUGUCAUCAUACGAAAAGUAUGUAUGUGAAUCUAAAAGAAUUGUAACCCAUAGAACAGAUCCUGCAAGACUUGUAUUUGCAAUUCCCCUUCCUGGCUUCCCUCUAGCAAAUUGAGUAACCUGACAUGAAAAUUGAUAAUAGAUUGCAAGCUCGCUUAGCAAUUUCAAUGCUGUCAACAAAAACACUAGACUGAACUUUUGUGCCACCUGUGCUUGUACUCUUUUGUCUCAUAGGUGCUCUUUGACAUGUUCUAGUAUUAUGUCCAGUAGCUUUGCAGUUGCCACAUCUCAUAGUGAUUGACCUUUUGGCUUGAGAUUGGCUUGGCUCAUCAGGCUCUCUCCUUCUAUUAACUCUUGGACGACCUGGAGCUCUUCUUAAUAGUGGUGGAAGGACAGUUCUUGGUGUGACAUCAAUUAAUGGAGGCCAUAUCUUCUCGUGAGGAAUUGGAUGUAUCAUGCCACUGUAUGUCUUAAAAUACAUUUCUGUUGAGAAGCAAGGAUCACAGUAUGUCUCCAAUUUCUGUCUUUUGUAUAUAAUUCCAAGUGCAGCAUGCUUGCAUGGGAGUCCAGAUAAUUGGAAAGCUCCACAGUCACAUGUCUUCUGGUUCAAACUCACUAUAAAUGUUUUGUCACCAUCAGAAACUUCAAACAAAUCUUCACUGGCCAUCUGCAAUGAACAUCUCCUAGAAUGUAUUGCAACUUUCUUGAGCUUUUCUAUGAUGUUUUUUAGGAUAGCAGACGUCCAUGUGCAAGCCUUCUGGUAUCUUUUGUGUAAUUUCUUCAUAAAUUUUUUCCUUAGGCCUUCAACAAGUGUCAGUAUUGGUUGGCCCCUUAAGUCUCCAAUCCAAGCAUUGAAGGAUUCCGUGAAGUUAUUUGUGACAUGAUCACAUUUCAUUUCUGUUGAGAAUGCAUGUCUAGCCCAAGCAGAAACUGGAAUCUUGGAUAAGUACCUCCAUGCUUCUAUAUUCAUGUCCUUGAUUCUCUGCAUUGUUUCAUUAAAUCCAAUUGCAUCAUAACUCUUAGUAGCUUACCAAAGAAAGUAGUCAGUAACAUUCCAGGAAACUGAGACUUGAAGUUCAUGCAAAUAUGUCUGCAACAGUAUCUUCCAAUUGCAGAUGGCAGCAGCUGUUCAUAUGCAAUGUUCAGCCCCUACAUCAAAAUCAAAAAUCAGUCAGCAUUUUUUACCAUAUCUACACAGUAGGUUGUCCAAACUUUAACACGUUUAGUGUUUAAUAAUACCUUUUGUCUAUCACUCAUGACAGUUAAGGGAGAAUUGUUAUGGAAUGGUCCAAAGAAUUCUUCAAAGAAAUGAAAGAACCAACUCCAAGUCUCUCUAUUUUCUACCUUAAAAAUAGCAAAUGCAAUGGGAAAUAUGCUGUUAUUAGCAUCCAAUGCAACAGCAGUUAGCAAUACUCCACCAAAACUACCUUUCAAAUGACAUCCAUCAAAUCCAACAAAGGAUCUACAACCAGCUAAAAAUCUAUCUUUCUGUCCUUUAAAGCUAAUAAAAAGUUUCAGGAACCUUGGUUCAACUAGUAGAUUUGGUUUGUCAUAAUGAAUCUUACAAACACUAUCAGGAUUAUGUUGCCUUAGAAGCACAACAUAUUUUGGCAGUUUACUAUAUGAUUCUGAAUGUUUGCCUUCAAUCUCUUCUCUUGCUUUUUGUUUGGCUCUAUACACUUGCUGUUUGCUAGGAUGCACACCAUAUUUUAGCAUCUCAGCUUCAAUGCCCUUUCUUGAUAAGUGAGGAUGGGUUCUCAUCACAGCUAGCAGUUUCUUGGCCAUCCAGUCAGAGGUGGCCUCACGAUUUUGUUAUCCAUCACACAUGUAUGUUCAGGUGUGUAUGUCUUAAUCAUAAAUAUUAUUGAAUCAGCUACAGGAGACGCAUGAAUCCUCCAUGUACAUCCAGCAACAUCACAGAUUACAGUACACCUGGUUUUCUCAUUCUUCAGUCUUUUGAUGGGAAAUCCUUUUUGGAUCACAUAAUCCUUCAGUGCUGCUCUAAAGGCAUCAACAUUAGUAAAUAGCUGUCCCUUUUUGAAUUCUAUGUCCUCCUUUGGAUUGUAAGUUCACAUCUUGUUUCUUAGCACUUCUCUUAAAAGGUCAAUUUCUUGCUCAGAUUCAGAAUCUGGUACAAUUUCACCAGUUUCAUUAUCCUAAAAGUUUUGAAAAUCUUCAUCACUACUAGAAAUCUCAGACAGAACCAUUAGCUCAUCACCUAUAUCAUCUUCAUUGUCAUCAUCAAAUCCUUGCUUCCAUGAUUCAUCAGAGCUCGAUUCACCCCCAUACCCCUUAUCCUGACUGUCAAUAACAUGAACAUUCUGCUCAUCAUCAGCCAAGGCAUUCUGAAUGUUCUGAAUUUCUAUGCGCUCAUGGUCACCAUCAAACUUUCUGUUCAACAACAUGGCAGGUUGUUCAGCUGGGAUAAUGUCCAUGUUGAACACCUCUACAUUUAUGAUUGUUUGACCUUCAUACACACUAAACAUAUCAUGGACAGCUUCAUCAUCAUUCACAUCAAUGUAAGCUUCUGUUCCAGGUAUUGCACAUCUCAUAUGUACAAGAACAUUAAUAUUUCAAGGCAUUUCAUGUAAUGCCUUCUCGGCAACAUCAUUCAACAGAUUAAUGAAAGAAUAAUUUUGAGGAUUUAUAUUGCGAAUUCGAACUUUUGUCCCUCCACAAUGGAGUACAAUGUCAUGCACAUCACCAGUCACCAUCUUACAAGAUCAGGAUCACCAUUUAUGAACUUCAAUGAAUACAAACAUAUAAUACUAUGACAGAGUAACUCCUCUGACCUCAUGCAAACCACUUUGUAUGAUUCAUAUAAAUAGCACCAUCACAUAUGCAUGAAUACACGUUCUAGUUUAUAACUAUUAUAACCAGAAAUAAUGAAAACACUGUCAGGUGAUCACAUUAAUAACACAAGCAGACACUUAAUCACUAAUGUAGGAAAAUAAGAAGACAUUCUCAGUCUCCACACGGUCAGUAACCUUUUCAUCAGCCAUAAGCUACGUAGUAUCUAACUUUGCUUUGCUUCAGAUGCUCUCAGAACAGCAAUACUUCACCCUUUGCAGCAAUACUUCACCUCAAUUUCUUCGACUCUCCCGCUUCUCCUGGAGCUCUCAAAUGCUCUUCUCAUUCUCAGUAUGGCUCAUGCAAAUAUGUAUUCCUCACCAAAAUUAACGAUCAGUCAGCUAUCAUUGUCACAUCAACAACCAAAUGGGCGCCUAUUUUUGGCGCCUUUUCUCUUAACCGAAAUUAGUAAUUCAUUUUGCAUUCAAAUUGCAGUUAAGUUAGUUAAACACAUGUAUUAGUCAUUUCACUAAUUAAUUCAUGUUAUUAUCAGAAUAUAUUACUUCAACAGCAGGGAUAUUUGUGUCAAUUCAACGUCCUUCAAGUCAUUUUGGGGCCCAACAAUCUGACAGGAGAGGUAUAAGGGAUUUUUGGAACUUCAGGGGAGGUCCUUGAGACUAUCAGAAAUCUCAGGGGAGGUUUCUGAAAUUAUGACUUUCUAUUUUAUUAAGUGCAUAUAAUGAACCAAUUAACAAUAUUACGUAUAAAAAUGAUAAGGAAGUUUUCUUAUAAUAAACAAACACAAAAUCUUCCUACAUAUUUCAUUGUUAAACUAUGGCUUCCCAUCUAAAAGAUAUUCAUAGAUCAACAAUAAAUUCAUAUUUUAGAAAAAUAUGAUAUGUAAUUUUAAUAAAUUAUUAAUUUAUGCUAUGAAUGGGACCAAAUGGUCAUGUAAGGUUUCAAAAAAAUUAUUAUUUUAUUAUUUUGACAAAAUUAUUAAUUUAGCUCAUUAGUCCAAGUUGGCAUCAAAAAAUUAUUAUUUAAUAGAAGUUAUUAAUUUAUAGAGGUUCUACUAUAGGCAUAAAUUAUUUAUUCUUACUCUACCUAGAAAUAGUUUGUUUUACUAAAACUUACUAAAAAGAGCACAAUGUAGUGGAGGAUGAAAAUAAUUGCAAAAUCCCAAACUCUUCUGAAUAAUGGGUAAUCAUUGAAUAAAAAUUUUCAAAAUACAUUGUUUGUCUCCAUGCCAUUCUUGUAUUCUUUUCAACAUUAUAAAAAACCAUCUUUAUUUUCUAUGAAUUGAACAAAAGGGCUUCUUUAUGAAAUAGUUAAAAUCGAUGUCCUCAAAAUCUAAAGUUGAUUCUUUAAAGUUAAAAGUAUUUAAAAAAUAAAAUUUGCAGAUCAUCCAGAAUUCUUGUACUAAAUGUUUUUGCUAUGCUCUAUGAGAUAACUAAGAAAUCAAUUUUGUUAGUAGAAUAUUCUCCUCAUAGUAAACUAUGAUUUCCAAUUCAUUGUUUGAAACAUUUGAUGCAAAAUAAAAGUGAUUUUUUUAAAAAAGUACAAGAAAAAUUACAUUAUAAUUAUGCAAUGUUUUAAUUACUUUUAGUGGUAAAUAUUGUAAUGAUUGUUUUUCUCUUUUUAUAUCCAGUAGCCUAGCUUAUAACAUGGUAUCUUGAGAUUUCAGUGGAAGAUUCUCCUCUUAGCUACUCAUUUUUUUUUUUCAAAUGAAGCAGUUGCACAUAGCUCACUUAUUCCAUCUAAUUUGGUAGCUCUCACUAGGAAAUUUUUAUGAAGUCUUCCUCCUAUUGAUCUCUUUGGAGCGAUUAAGUUCUUUCAAUUAGUAGAAGUUUUGCUCACUGAUUAUAUAUUUUACUUUACUAUUUAUAGCCAAAGUCAUACAUAAACUUCCAAACAUAUUUAGUUUUAGAAUCCUAUUAACUUUCAUGCUUAUCUUGCAAAAUCUUUGACCUGUAAAUAUCAAUACAUUUUUCAUUAUAAGUUGAGCCAACUAGCUUUUGAUUUUGGCAUAUUCCAAAUUAUAGUUCCAAUAAGAUCACUAUUUUGAUCUGGCAAUUAAGAGGUUGAAAUUGUGGGUUCAACACACUAAUUUUAUUUUAUUUUCAGUGUAAACAAACAUUGAUCCCUUGUGGAUGAUGAAUUUAAUCUAGUAUAUUUUAAGCAAUCUCGACAUGAAUUUUGUUGUUUAAAAUUAUAUUUAGAAGAAUACCAGAUGAUCUAUAUAAGAUAGAUAAAAAUGUGAAAAAAUGAAGAUGUCACUGACGUAUUUAAAAAAAAUUAAUUAUACUAGCUAACUACUAGUGAAACAACGUGAGAGUUCAUGUAGUUGAAAGAACUCCUUUUCCUACUAGGCUAUAGAGUCUUUGAAGAAAAAAGAUCAACCAAUAUCAAUAUCAUGUUUCUUUGAUUCACCUAAGAAUCAUGAAGAGAAGAUUGAGAGCGAGCCUUCUGUUGAUAAAAAAUGUUGCAUACUAAGUGAAUUUCAUAAUACUAAACUUCACAAAAGAAAUGGGGCUAUUUGAUGAUCUUGAAACAAGAUCCUAAAGCUUUUUAUUACUCUCUCUAAAUUUGGUUCUAGAUUUUGGCAAUAUAACUCUACUGAUACGACAUUAUAGAGAGAAAAAUUAAUAGCAAAAUCAAAUUUUCUUAGUAAGAAAUGAUCAAAUGCAAAUAGUUAAUUUAAUUGUAAGGAGACUUGUAGAUAUAUUUGAAAUAAAUAUUCCACACUUGUUUCUAGCUUUCAAAAAUUAUGUAUGAUAAAAAUACACCUUCUGAUAUCAAUAUAACCAUCAUCUGAAGUAAAACAAUACCAAAAAUUUUCUGCAUAUUGGUAAAGAUUUGAUCCUAGAUCCAAGUGGACUCAGAACCAAAUCUGGUUCACAUCUUAAGUCAACAAAAACUGACAUUGGAUCACUAGUAAUCUUGACUGGAUCAAAAGUUAGAUGUAGAAAAAACCUAUCUGAUCAUGAUUCGGCUUUAGAUUCAACUUGGUCUACACAAAGAUUUAACCUCAGAUCUUUGGACAAUUUGUUGGUCCUUUGAUUUUCUUUUUUCAAGUCUUAUAUUGUACAAUUCAAGUCUCAUUUUUAUGUUACAUAUUUUAUCUAUACAUUUUUAAGCCUUGUUUAUACAUCUAUAUAUUUCAUGACUAAUUAUUCCAACAAUUCCUUACUAAGUUUGUAAUGAAAUAUCAAACUAACACUAUCAAUUAUUAAGCAUAUAGUAAAUUAUACUUUGAUCUAAACUUUUCUAUUAGUGUAAAUAUGUUACUAAGUCUAACCAAAUCAAGGAGGCUAAUGGCCUUCAAAUAUGAUUUGCAAAUUACACCCGAUAUAUCAUACAUAUUGUAUUAUAAUAUUGAUCAAUUCACAAAGAACUUUAGCACUUUUACCAGUCAUAUGCUGUAUUACAGAUUCAUGAUCAUGUACAAAAGUAAAUACAAACUUUUAUUUGAAACAAUACAACUUUUAUGAUCAUAUAGGUGAAAUUACUCAAAAAUUUUAUAAUGCAAAGCACCAUGAAAGAAUUUACACUUUAUUAAGAGUGAACAUUAAAUAUAUACUCAACCUCUUAAUAACUAUAUACACUAGUAGGAUGGACUAGUACAUAUAAGUAAUAGUACUCGCAAUCACUUAUUAACAAUUUGUUGUUACUUCUUAAACCUAUUUAAUCUAGUAGUAGUACUAGAAGAAAGAUAGAAUUCCUAUGAGAAUGUAUCAAGUGGUUAUUGACUGCCAUAUCACUAGUGUGAAUACCCGUGCUACGCACGUGCUGAUAUUAUUUAAAAAAUAAAAAUAAAAGGGUGAAUUAAAAAAUGUUAAAAAUUUGUACCAACACAAUUAAAAUAUAGUAUCUGUCUAACAAUAGUUUGAAAUAUGAUAGAAUGUGUAUAUUAUUCAAAAUUUACCUUUUUUGGAAGAUAGAUCCUGAAAAAAUAAUAAAAAUUUAUAUUAGAAAAUGAAUGAUAUAUAAAUAAAAAUGAAUGUAAUUAAGUGUUGUUAAAAUGAAAUACUUACGAAUAUUAUGCAUUCGAUUUGAUAAUCUUGUAUGAAGGUGUGAACACUCUUCACACCAAUCAACUUUUAGUACGAAAGUCAAAAUUCGUGAUUUAAUUAAUUCUGUUAAAUUUUGUGGAAUGCGUAUUACAAAUGAAAAUGCACGAUCUUUGCAUGAAUUGAUUCGUUGGUUGAACAACCUAUCACCAUUGUCCUGAGAAUUAAGUACGUGCGAAAUACAAAAUUAGUAUUUUUUUUUACAUAGUUUAUAGAUAGCAUUAUAAAAAAUAAACAUAUAUCAAGAAAUUUUACCUUUUUUUGUAAUUCUCUGAGAUAUGAAGCAUCACAACUACGAACCAUGCAUGUCUGUCCUGUAGAUUAAGAUGCAUGUUACCACUGGAAUCUCUAAUUUGUAUGUUAACAUUAUACUUGUUUGACAAAUAAAAUGUUAUAUACAAUACAAAAAAAUUUGUUGAAAUUAAAGGUACAUGAAAUUAAUUACAUAACAACAGAAUCGACCACGUUAUUACAAUGCAUACACACUAUUUUUGAAAAAUGAUCUUCACAUAGUUGUCCAUAAUUUUUGCAUAACUCAAAGAACAUGUUUUCUAUGUUAAUACUCUGAAUGUAAGCAAGUAUUCGAAAAUAUUUAACCUAGUAAGAAUGAAAGAAGGUAUAGGUUAUGGUUAUAAAUUUAAAAAAUUUGUGCAGUAAUUAAAUUAAAUAGAGUAAGUUUACUGUAUGCAUGAUUGUAUAUUCGGAUAUCCAUAUUCUCUUUGAAUUUGCUAUCAACAAUGCUUGUGAUGUUAUAAAAUUGCUUGACCUCAACCAUGUAACUAACUUUCGAGCACAUAUAUCUUUUUCAAACCUAUAAUUUUUUGAAACAAAUGUUGAUAAGAGUAUGAAACAACAUUAAAAGUUUGAUGUGGUGUUACUGAUGGAACUCACCAACUGCGCAGGUAUCGAACAAAGUCUAAAUUGUGAUUGAUAUACAAUUUGCUAGCUCCAAUUGUACAAAGUGAUGGUCCUGCAUAGUAUGGUUAUAUUUGUUAAAAAACUAUUCAAAUUAUAUAGAAUAUAAGUAAAAGCAUUUGAUUUACCUCUGAAAUUUUGUACACAAAUACCACAUGCUAGUAAAAUAUUAUUUUUUGUAGCAGACUAAUAUUAUAGGAUUUGUAGUAUAUUCAAUAACUUGAUACACAAAUCACUGAUGAGGCAAAAUUUGCCUAAAUAAGUUUUACAGUGUCCUAACUCCUUGCAAAAGAAAAAAGCGCUAAAUAGUCCUAAUUGGCAUCGCAAGUUACGGUAACAUGCCAGUGGCAUCUAGAUCUAAUUUUUUUUUUUGGCUAAAAUCUAGUCCUAAUUGGUUCUGCUGUUUCUUGAUCAUGUCGUAUGCUUCCGAAUUAAAAUUGUAUUAAAAUAGCAUGUGAAUAAGCAUUUGUCUUUAAUUAAGGAGUAAAAAGGAUUUAAAGUAUAAACAACAAACUAUAAACGGUUUAUGAAAUAGAUUAUGAAAAAGUUUUUAAUUUUAAAUUUGACUGGUGAGAGAGUUGGUUAUAACCCACUACUUUUUAUGUAUUAAAAUAAAUACAAAAAUCUAGACAAAAAUCUAUAACUCACUACUUGUUUCGUUCUUGGGAUUUUUUUUAGGGUUAAAUAUAGUAAGUCUCUUAACUUUAAAUUUAGCUGCACUUUACCCCUCAAUUUUACAUUUAGUUGUACAUUUGUGAUUUUUUUGAAACGUGAUUGUAAUUGGCAAAGCUCAUUUGUAGGGGUAGUUAUAGGGUUAGUGUGGUUACAAAUAUUUCUUAAUCAUAAGAAUGUAACAUUGUAUUAAAAUAGCAUACGAAUGAGCAUUUGUCUUUAAUUAAGGAGUAAAAAGGAUUUAAAAUAUAAAUAACAAACUAUAAGUGAUAACAUGAAGUAGAUAGUGGGAAUGUUUUAAAUUUUAAAUUUAAUUGAUGAUAGGAUUGGUUAUAACCCACUACUUUUUAUGUAUUAAAAUAAAUACAAAAAUUUAGAAAAAAGAAUGAGAAGUUUGGAAGCCAUUGAGAGGGUCUCUGCUAAAAACCCCUUCUGCAAUACAUAUAGAUAUAGAUUUUUGACGUGGUGGUUAAAUAAGUAAGAUUUGGAUGUCACGUGUCUAUGUUUGAUUGCUCAAAUCUCUACUCUGAAUAGUCUUUUUUUUUAAUUACUUUUUGUCUUCUUUAAUCAAUGCAAUCUAUACCUCUAUAUCUAUCCAGACUGAUAAAAAUUUAAAAUUAUAAUUUUGAUCUCUAUCUCUUCGUUGUCUAGCAAAAGUUUAGAGUCACAAGUUGAUGAAAUGAUGAAAAAAAUAAUAUUUCAAAUCAUUCUCUGAAUAAGAACUAGGUUUAGGCUUUGGGAAAAAACUCCAAAGUUGUAGUGAUAGUUACAAUACAAAAUGAGAUGAGAAAAAAGAAAGGGACAAAGGAGAAAAUGAAUAUAUCUGCAAAUAAGGAGGAGAGAGUUACAAAACAAAUGAUGGAUGGUAUUCAUUAGUUGGGGUGCCACUCAUAACCUAGUAAACUUCUAAUUGGGUUUGAAAUUUGCAAUAUACCGAUUGUUUUAGUUGAAUUUUGAAACUAAAAUGGAGGUUUGCUUGAUAAUUUGUGUAGAUAUAUGUUUGAAUCUCAAAAGAGUGGCUCAUGACAUUGCUAGUUGGUGAUGUCCAUUGUCUUUGCUCACUAAACUAGAUAGAUGAGGACUCGGAGUUGAUUAACUUUUGGGGAAGAAGAAAAAACGGAAAAAGUUAGAAAAAAUAGACACUUGACUCUCCACCUUGGUUAUUAACCGCCACAUCAAAAAUAAUGUGGCGCUUAAAGAUCACCCAAUAUUCUCUUGGAUUCCUACUGCUAGAGAUUCUAAGUGAAGGGUUUCAAUCCCAUCCCUUAUUUCACUAAAUUCUUUGGUAAAGAUUUAGUUAAUUGAUCUGCAUAAUUAUUGUAUAUUAUUACAAAUACAAUAGUAAUGACAUUAUCUUUCAAAAGUUGUCUAAGAUACUCAUUCUUAAAUUAGUAAGUGUAGAUUUACCAUUUUAUAACUUAUUCAACUACCAUAGAAAUAGUGAUUUCAGCAUCACAAUAUAAAGAGACCAAAAUGACAUAGGUUUAGGCCACAACUUAACAUCAAGUAAUAAAUUUCUAAACCAUUCUGCCUAUGUACAUGUUGUACUAAAGUAAUAAAUUUAGCUUUCAUAAUAGAAUUGACAAUAACUAUUUACUUCUUAGAUGUCCAUGAUAUUGCAUUACCACCAAAAAUGAAUAUCCACACAAUGUAGAAUUAUCAUUCACAAUAAUGAACUAAGUAACCUCCAAGUAACCUUCAAGUACAACUGAAAAUCUAUUAUAAAUCUAUUAUAAAGGAGUUCUAAAUUUUUAGUCAUAUUACAAUAACCAAGAACUUUCCCAAUGGACUUCUAUUGGCCCAAUCCUAAAUUCUUUAUGUAUCUUACAAGUUAUAAACUGCAUACAAAAUAUCUUGUUUUUCAUAUGCAUUGUGUUAUAUUAAAUUUCCAAUUACAAUAGCAUUUUUAAGUUGAGCAAUGGAAUUACUAGAACUUUCAUAUAAUUUCGAGUUAGGAUUAAAAGUGGUACUUAUUUCUUUAAUUUUUAAAUUUGAUAUCUGUUCAAGAGCUUAUCAACAUAAUGGAAUUAACACAAGGAAUGAUCCCUAUUAUUUCUUAAUUUUAAUACUCAAAAUAGUAUUCAUCUUUCCAAAGCUCUUUAUUUCAAACUUUAAAUAAAGAUACUUCUUUGUUUCUUCUACACCUUUUAUAUUAGUUCAACAAUGAGCAUAUUUUGUAAAUGACUAUAUCAUGUGAAUUUAAAAUAAAUACACUUAUCAAAAUUAUUGUAUCUAAAUCUACUUGCAAGUAGUACAGAUUCUAAUUUCUCAACCAUUGUUUCGAUACUUGUUUUAACCUAUAUAAUGUGUUAAACCAAUUUAUAGACUUUCUUUUUAUUUUCAAGAAAAAAAAUAUUUUGGUUGUCCUUCCUAUAUAAGUAUUCUUAUCUAAGAUACUAUCUAAGAAUUUUAUAUUCACAUCCACAUGGCGCACAAGCUAAUUGUACAUUAAAUGUAAUGACAAUAGUACUGUUAUGGAUGUAAAUGUAGCAACCGGUGCAUAUGUGUAUCAAAAUAGUCUAUUUUUCCCUUUGUUCAGAAGUUUUAGCCACUAAUCCAAUUUUGAAUGUUAAAAUAAAUCCAUUCGUUGCAUGUUUUUUCUAAAUAUCCACUUAAAACUAAUUAAUUUUAAACCUUGUGGUUAAUCAACUAGAACCUAUGUAUUGUUAGAUAAUAAUGAGCCUUUUUCAUUAUUGCUUCUCUUUGAAAUUAGGACUAUCAAUGGGUCGAGCCAGUUCAAGCUCGGCCUGUUUGACCCAAGAAAAAGACCGAUGAGUCUAACCUUUCAAUGAGCCAGACUGAGAUUUUUUUAAACCCAAAUUAAAUAUGAGUCGAGAUUGGACAUCAUUAGGCUCAAACCUGAUAUAGACCCAACCCUUUAAUUACCUAUAUAUAUAAUGAUAAAUAUAUUUAUAUUUUGGUAUUAUAUAUAAUUAUAUAUCCAAAUAUAUUAUUACUAAAUACUAAAUAUAUACAAAUAUGUUUAGGGUUCUUUUUUUUGGUACUUUUUUAUGCUUUUUUCUUGAAAACAUCUACAUAUAAUUAUGAGGAAAAUGUAAAUGAAAAGGAGAAAACUAAGUUUUAAUUGAAUUGGGUUGGGUAUCCAAUUAGUUGUUUUACUUUAAAUUAAACUAUCUCAUUGACUUUUUUUUCAUUUCUUAAAUCAAUUUGUUUACUUUAAGUUGAAUCAAUUUGUUUACUUCAUUUGGAUUCAAGGCACAAGGUUAUGAAGACGUUCCAACCUUUGAAGAUAUAUUGGUUGAUGACCGCAUAUUUUAUUACAAUUUUUCAUAUACUUUGAACGAAUUAGAUGUAAAUAUUUUUGAAAAUUCUUGGUUUAUGUACUUUUUAAAAACUAUUACUUGUUCAUGUAUAAUUUUAAUAUUGUAGUCCCAUAAAUGUUAAAUUAGUUUUACAACAUAAUAAUUAUAGUAAUUAUAUUAAGAAAAUUGAAGAGUAAUAAGUGAACUUGGACUAACCCUGAAUAAAGCUCAAAACCCAAUUAUUUUGUGAGUCAAGCAUAAGUUUCACAUUUUUCAAUCAGAAACUCACAACCUGAAAUUCGAAAGUGUUACAAAUUAAAUGAGCUAAACCCGAAUUUAUGAAAACCCAACUCAAAUUGCCCGAUUGACAAGCCUAUUUGAAAUGCAAAAUCUCUUAUUAUCACAGCUAAACUAAAUGUCUUGGGAUCAUUUUUCAAAGUCAAUAAGGUUGAUAUCUUAUUUUGUAAAAUUCUUUGUAACCUUCAACCAAAAAUACAAUUGCUUGUGAAGAUAUGAAAUUAGAAAAAAGAUAUUUUUCUUUUCUUUAUCUUUGACUUCUCGUAGAUUUAAUAGAAGGGUCAACCACCUUCCUCUUAUCAUUUGAAGAAGGAUCAACAUUUUGGAGUGGUUAUUGUUCAUUAUUUGGAUCCACAUUGGGCAUAGAAUCUUUGAAAAACUUAUUUUAAAGAAUUGCACAUUGCUUGACUAUUCAAUUAUAUUAGGAUCAAUAUUGAGUAGUCUAUAGGAUUUAGAAUUUUCAAUGUAAUUUAUUGGUACACUUUUAUGUGCCCUUGGCCCCAAUUUAGUUCCUUUGUUAUCCUAAACCUUAUAGUAAGUUAUGCACCUUCAAACUCUAAAAUAACUUGAGUUUGACUUUUUCCCUUUCCAUACCUCAUAUGGAGAGACAUUUAUUUUCAGUGAAAGAGUUCUACUAUGAACAUGACAUGCAGCCUCGCCCCAAAUUUUUUUGGUAAAGCAAAACAUAAUAACAUAGAAUUAACCACGUUUUUCAAAAUUCUAUUAUUUCUACUUGCCAAACCCAUUUUGUUAUGGAGAAUGUGGCGUAUAAUUCUAUUUUGUUCACAAAAUGGUGAAAAUUAAGUAGAAAAAUAAUCUUCUCCUCUCUUACUUUUUAAUAUUUUAAUUUUCUUUUCCAAUUGAUUUUCAACAGAAGACUUCUAAAAUCUGAACAUACUAAAAGAUUCAUCUUUACAUUUCACAUAAUACACAUGAACAAAUCUAUGACAAUCCAUAAUAAAUAUGUUGAAAUACUUCUUAUUACCUCUUGUUAGAAAACCAUUUACUUCAUACACAUCAAAAUGCACAAGUUUAAGUAAACUAGUAUUUCUUUCAGCCUUAAAAAAAGAUAAUCUUGCCACUUUGGUUUAUAAGCAUGUUCCACAUUUCCUUCUUCAUUACCAUCAUAGGCAAUUACUCUAUAUUAGAUAUACGAUGUAGUCUCUUAUUAUUAACAUGUCUAAAUUUACUAUGCCAUACGGAACGAGAAGAUUCAACAAUAUAAGCAGAAUUAAUAUUUUUCUUAAUACUCAUUUUAAACAUCCCAUUACAAGAGAAACUUUGUCCUAUAAAUAUAUUGAUUGGACAAGAUUAUUUUAUUAGAGUCUAAUACAACCCUAAAACCAUUCUUAUUGAACGUAUUAGCUGAUAUAAGAUUUUUCCAUAUAUCAACAACAUGAAGUACAUUAGUGUGUACUAGCUUUUAGCUUUUUGCCAAAUAUGAAUUGCAAGUCUGCUAUCCUUUUACCAUAAAUCUUGGCAGUGUCAUGAUUGCUCAUUAUCAUUUUAAAACUAUCAAGAACAUCUUCAUGGAUCUUGAAUAUAGAAAUGCCAUUGUAAAUAUACACCAUUGCACCAAAAUCAUAUGACCAACCCCUUAAAUUGAAUCUAGAAGUCAUGUACUAUUGCAACAAUUUUAGCAACAUCUUUGUAUUUCACAAGAUUUGUUUCAGCAUUAUCCUUCUUUUGCUCCUUGUUAGAUGUAUACUAACUUUGUUUAGAAGAUUUUCUCUUCUCAGGCUCUCCACCAAUGUUGUUGUUCCUCUUCUUCUCAUCCACAUAGUUCACCUUAGGACCAACAUCAAUUUCUCUUUUUUGAAAAAUUCAAACAUCCUUUUGGGUAAUAUGGAGCAAUUUCUUUUGAUAGUCAUUUUAACUGGUGGUAACUUUACUAUAAUUGGCUCCACUCCACUUGCAAUGCCUCAAAAAUCUACACACCAAGAUCUUUAAAUUUAGAAACCAAAAUUUGUAGAUCAUGCAUUGAUCAAGGAGAAAGAAUCUUCAUUAAUAAGAAAAUCAAAAUAUUUCUUAAUAAAUUUGUCCAUACCUUGUUUUUGAGUAGGAUAUUUAUACUCCAAUGCAACAUAAAUUUCUCUUGGUGAUUUAAUAGAAGCAUACAUGUCAUAGAGCCCAUCCAAGAGCGUGUCCAAAAUGUGGCUUCUACACAAGACUUCAUACUCUUCACGCUUCCUUCGUUCAGCCUUUAAUGUUUAAAGUCUUGAUAUCAUGAUCCUUAGGAGGAGAAAUUGAUGACAAUAUCGAACCAAGUACAUAGCGCUACCUUUAUCAUUUCACCUCUUGAAGUUUGUCCUCUUUGUAUCAAGCUGAUCAUGUUUAAUAACCCUUUGGCUUAUGAUCUUGAGAGGAUUUUCAGUUAAAGAAUCCAUUUUACACGAUAAAAUCCUAAAGACUGUUGAAGAAUAAUGCAUGCUAGAAUGCAUAAAUUUGUAACAAUAAAUUUCACAAAGCCAAUGGGAUUUGUUUGAUGAUCUUGAGGUGUGUAGAAAAUAAUCUCCUUAAAGUUUUUAUUGUACAAUUAAUAGUUUGCUUUUGGAUUAUGACAAAAUACUUUUAGAAUACAGUAAGAUGAAGGGAACGUUGACAAUAACUCACUAAAAUGAUCAAAUGCAAAAAGUUAAUUUAAUUGUAAGAAGGGCUAUCAAUUUCUAAGAAAAUGUGUUCAUACUUAUUUCUAACGUUCAUAAAUUAUGUCCGAUGAAAACAAACCUUCUAGAUGAAAUUUAAAAAAAUUAAAAAACUAAAAAAUUUCUGCCUGCUGGUGAAGAUCCUGUCGUGGGUCCAAAUGAACUUGUAACGGGAUCCAAAGUCAAAUCUGGUUCACAUUCUUGUCAACAAAAACCCGGCACCGAAUCAUCAGUAAUCUGGAUUGGAGCAGGAUAUAGAAAGGACCUCUUCGGUCAUGAGCCCGCUUUGGAUCAGGCUUGGUAUACACCAAAAUUUUUAUUAAGUUUUUGGUACUUUGAUUUUGUUUCCAAGUCUCACAUUGCACAAUUCAAGUCUUAUUUGUAUAUUCUAUGUUUCAUUUGCACAUUCUGUGUCUCAUUUGCACAUUUCUACAUUUCACUAUAAAUUAUUCCAGCAAUUUCUUAUUGCACUUAAUGCAGUACAAGGGAUGGUCCUCGUGAGAAUCAUUGUGUCCAAAAUCUGAAUUUCAACGUUUCAACCAAAUCCCAGUAAGCAACUAAGUAAAACGAUUAACUUCUACACAAUUUUUGCAAGACUAAGCCUAGUUGAUGACUGCUUGAGUAAUAGAGAAGGAAGGCUUGCAGGGAGAAAAGGUAUCGAUGAAAGUCUUCUCUCCGAUGCAUGUUUUACCAUGGAGUAUAUGGCGAUCUCAAUUGUUUUUUCAAGCAUGAUUUUGACUUCUUAGCCACCAGAUACAAGCAGCUAAGCAUUGCAAAAUUUCUCAAUUAAGUAUAGUCAUCACAAUAAAUUGGCGAAUUUGGCAAAGUUGUAUUCUUCAACCUCUAACAAUCUCUGCUUAACACUCCAGAUGCCAUUUACAGUAACCCAAGACCAGAACUCGCAACCAGAUACGUCAAAUUUAAAUCACUAUGCCUGAGUAAUAAAGUAAAAUUGACUCGGAUAAUUCAAUUCAAAGACAGAAGUGAUACAAAAACAUUUGAACAAGUCAUUUUGUUAUGCAGAGUUGCAGUCUCAGAGAACGGUAAACAUGUCCAUGGCGAUCAUGCUUCUCAAUGAAAUUUAAAGGGCCUGAAAGAUGAGUGGAAAAGAAGCAGGAAACUAAUUUAAAUACAGAAUUUGCCGUAUAGGGAGCUGAUUAGAAUUCACAUACACGCUACAAAACCAUAAGACUAGUCUUUGGCAGCCAAUUCAAUUCCAAGUGGGCUCAAAUUAUAGUGUAAACGGUUUUCUUCGUACAGUAACACAACAAUUACUUGCCUAAAUCAAUUCCAUCUUCGACCUGUAAAACAACUAAAUCGACACUCCUGCAUCGUAGCUGGGGUAGUUUACGAAGCACAAUUAAGCGCCUCAAAACCAAGACAAUUACUUGUACUAUGGUAGAGUUAUCAUCAUUCAGCUCAUAUAAUGUCUGUGGAUCCAGAGAGUGAAAAGCUUUUUCUGUUUCCAUUUCUUUCUAUUCUUGUAGCUUUGAUAUCACCCUUGCUCUCUAUCCCAUCAGCAUCUUAAGAGCAUGAUAUUCUCCAGUCUACAAGUUCAUUCUGCUUGCAGAGCAGUGCAAAUGGUCCAAAGUUUAUCAUUCAGUGCCCCAAAGCUUAAGUCAUGCUAUUCCUUGUUCGAACUCUAUCAAUUAUCAUUUGCCUGCCAGAUAGAUCAUCGGCAUACCCAACAACCUGCAAUUGAACAUUGCAGAAGAUAAGCAACUGGUCAAUAUGGACACAAGGCAGGAUCAUCAGCUUGAAGUGCACAAAGCGAUAGUUUUCCAACAUCUUUGAGGUCGUGAUGCACAUAUGUAUACAGGCAUAUUAAAGAAAUAUGUUCGUUGCAAUGUCACUUGACAAUUUCAAUCAAACAAAAGCAAGUGAAAAACACGAACCUGAGACUCUGUUGGUGUUUCAGUAAAGCCAUCAUAAUCGUUUGUUCUGGCAUCUUCCUGGGGAUUAUGGGAAUCGUCCUUUUUAUCAAACCUGAAACACAAGAAGAUUGAUGAAUUUAGUCGCACAUUCAUACUCGCCUAUCCGUAAACAACAUUCCAAGCACAGAGAAGUCAAAUUGAGUUCCUGAGUCAACUAUCCACCAACUUAAGUUAAAUACUAACACAUACUAUAUUCAAGAAAAAGAAGGCAUAGCUUAUAGUGCAGACUAAGAUACCAUGCAAAACUUUGAAUUUAAAAGCAAAAUCCUAAUUAAAGGACAGCUAAAGCAAACACAAAGAUAUUCUCAACGGUUCUCAUCUCUUACUAGCUCUCAAUGCAGUCCAAUUCACAGAUCACAACAACAACCACUUGAAUUCUAUUAUUCUAGCUAAUCCACUCCAGUUUGAAAACAUUACAAGUCAAUAACAAUACCUAUUGAGGAAACUUUAUUUGCUAACAAUCUAGACAACUAAGUCCAAACUCUAAGAUAGAUGCCAAGAAUAAUUCUAUCACAGAAGGUGGAUACUGCAUUUGAUUAAGCUGAAUUUCAUGAGGAUAAAAAUGCAAGCCAGUAAUAAUAAUGCAAACAAAGGUGGAAUCAAUUUUAAAAGAAUCCAAAGAAAAUGUCGACAUGUAAAGUUUUGACCAAGCAUGUCUACAUACAGACUUUCUAUCGAGCAUACCUGUCAGAUCUCGAUUCUGAAGAUGCCAUAAUAAAAAAAUCCCAAGUGUUAGAAGAACGUUAAAGAUGGUAACUCUUUUCCUCUUUGCUAUUUGAGAAAACAGGAAUUAGACAAACAUAUAUUCUAGAAUAUAUAGAUUAGGUGAACAUAAAAUCAACACAAGGUUAUGACCAUAUUAAUGAUUGUAAUGCCAGGUAAAGGAAUUCAAGACACUUGAAUCUUCCUGAAGAGCUCAUGUUGCCUAAAACUUCAACCAGUAUUAAAAGAAGUUACAUGAUAAACCAUAGUCAUCUCACGUAUGCCAUUUAAGACUAUAUUAAUCUGACAAGCCAUAAACAUAUCGACCAAAAACAAAGAAAUUUCUUGUAGUGACACAAGCACAAAAAAGGAAUUCACUUAUCACGAUAAAUAACUAGCUCCACAAGUAGUACUUCAAGGGAAAAAAUAAACAUGAAGUUAAAGUUUAAAGAAAGUAAUUUCACAAUAAAGAAACAGUCAACUGGUUGAAGUUUAAUAGCAAACAGAUCAUUUGCCUAUGCCUCUUUAUCAGGUGCUGCAAAUAAAUGUGCUUAAACCUGAGUGGGCAAAGACACCAUUUACAUCCAUAUACACACGCAGACACACAAAUAGAGAGACAGAGAGACAGACAGAGAUUAUGGCUUGCAGGAGUCUUCUGUCAUGGAAAGUACUUUUACUGAGUGCUUUCCCCAGUUUUCUCAGAGAAAGCAUCUCUCAAAACCUUUACAAAUUAUCAGCAAAAAAAAAAAGUACCUUCAUCAUCUUAUUAAAGUUUCUUGUCCAGUUUUUCUCCUCAAAAGUUACACACAUGGAAAUGCCUCCUCUGGUAUCUAUUUCUCAUCCUUAAUAAAGUGUAAAUCCCAGAUAGAAAUAAAAUUGUGCAAAAUACAUACGGGAGAAAUAUGAAGGAAAGCAACUUGAAUUCUUCUUAAGGCAGAAAAUAUAAUUAAGAUGCAAGAAAAGAAGCAUAUAUAAUUAUAAGAAAUGCUAAAUAAGAAGGGUCACCUAUUUUUCCAGUGCUUGGGCAAUCCAAGAGCGGACUGAGGCUCUCCACGAUCUUGACCAAGAACAGUACAAUCAGAUGUAAAAAUCUGAUCUAAAAUUAAGAAAUAAACUUUGCUAAUUCACUCAUUAUAGUUUUAGUAGUGAACCUAAAAAAGAAGAAUGUAAGGAUACACUUGUACCACACGUACUUCUAACAGGAGAUUGCUGAUCAUGGAUCUAAUAUCAGAGACAAGGCAAAAGAUUAGAUGGCAAUCCAACAAAAAGAUCAUCUCCUUUGAUGAAGAAUAUACAGAAUAAUGUUACCUUACUCGUUUGCUCUAACAAAUCCUCAAUAGCAGCAGCUACAUCAGGAACCAUAGUGGUGACUUUGCUAGCAUUUUCUGUCACGUCUUCUUCCAUUGGACUUACCCGGCAGAUGCUAUGGGUUAAGUUUGCCUCAGAAAAUGAGCAUUUUGUUUUGUCAGCCUCAAAAGUCCUUGCCUUUUUUAAACAACCAAUUGGGUAAUUUAUCUCCUCGCUUUUUUUGGUAAAAGCUUCAGUUUCUACACUUUUGCACUCUUGGGAAUGCCUUGGAAGUUGAGAUGCAUCAUCCCCAGAUAUUAUCCCAAUGCCUUGGGUAGGAUACUGUGUCAUAGUACAGACUCCUGUCUCUCGGUCUUGAGAAGUUGCUUCUUUUGGACAAAAUGGACCUGGAGAAACAACCUUGUUCUGUCCAAUCCAAAGAUGCAAAAUAUGCAGACUGGAUUAACAACAAUUUCAACAUGUAGCUGGGAGAAACAUGAAUGAAGAGAAUGAGAUUACCAAAUGUGUUUUUGUGCAUAUGCAUGUGAGAGAGAGCAAGGAAGGGGCAGGAGGGAGGACAGACAAACCUGCUUGACACACUCAUAAAUCCAUUCAGAAGUAACUGGCUGUAUCCCCCACUUACAAGCAGCCUCAUAUUUUGGUCCACUGGCGAAUUUACAUAACAAAUGCGUGACUUUCUUAGUCAGUUUUUCAACAAAUUGGACUCCAAGAAUAAAGCACAAAUUUCUCAGCAGCAGUCUUUCUUUCUCAUCAUAUUGCGAAACACAGAAGCGGAAGCACUUAAAACUCAUGAAUGGUACUUGGCAUGGAAGAGGAGAAUAGAGGAUAUGACUGCUGACAUCCAGUAAGUGCCCAUCCUUCAACAGAAUAAGUUCACACUGUUAGCAUUUAUCCAAGAAUGACUUGAAAACAAAAGAAUCUUGUGGUCCCCUGGAUGGUUUUUUAAUAAAGGUCACAGGCAGAGUGGAGGAAUCUCCUGUGUUUCUAUAUAAUCACCCCGUUUGGAUUGCAUUUUUCUGGAUUUUUUGUAGAAAAAUUACUGUAGCGAUUUGAUAUAUAUGAGGUAAAAAGGUGAUAGGGAAAUGUGUUCACGGAAAACGUAAUAAUUUUUCUGAGGAAAAUUGCAAUCCAAACGUAAUUUCAAUCAUUAGCAUGGAAUAGAUGCAAAUGGUAAAUGAAAGUUACCAAAGAACCACCUCCAAGCAGCUUUUAAAUCCCCUCAGAUACAACCAAGCUAAUUUCAAUUGAAUUAGGUUUCCUCAUAGUACAGCUAGCAACUUAGCACCUUUAAAGUAUUUAAUAAAACAUCAUGCUGCAGGCUUCUAGAAAAAGGAAAUUAAAAUCAUUAAAUCAAUACUACUCUGCGU